rnacentral:lncRNA from 1 species
AAGCCCAGCACUGCGCUCACAGAAGGCUGAGGCAAAGAAACAGCAGUUCCAGCAUCCACAGAAGACAUCAGCUGUGAUCCAGGCGCCACCUGCUGGACGGAUCCAGGAACUGCAGCAGCAUGCUGAGAAGGGAGCAGCCGAGAAGAUGAGCCCACGCCCCGGAGGAGAUGGCCGAGGUAAGUGACCUGGGGGGUGGUGUGGAGGGGGAGGUAGGCCGCGGCAGCCACACCAGGAGGCCACGCGGCAGUUGUAGGCCUCAUCCCCGGCCUGGAGGUAGCCGGCCAGGCGGCCCAGGAAGGAGCAGGCAGGGCGGUGGAGGUAGUAGGCCGUGCGGCAGUGGCAGGCCUCGUGGCAAUAGGCCUCAAAUCCCGGCCCCCAGUAGUAGGCCGCGUGCCUGGAGCCCCAGACACGCGGCCCCCGCGGUGCCCCGGGCCCAGGGUCCUGCCCCUCAACCGGGCCCGAGGAGUAGGAUCCAGGGACAGCCUGGCAGGUGGGCGGGAAUACCUGCCAUUGCUGGCGCGGCAGCAGGGGAGACCGCAGGGGGUGCCCCAGGGGAAGGUAGGCCGUGGGGGGUGCCCACACCGGCAGCCAUACAUCCACUAAUGCUUCUCAAUCCCUCCCUUAGGUGCCGGCCACCAUCCACGCUGCAGCAGCCCUGAGGGACGACCGGAUCGCCUCAACAUCCAUCACCUCAAGCUGUAUCAAUCUGCAGGCCCAGGCAAACAGGAGCAGGAGGACAGGAAGCUGUUUGCUGGCCCGAAUCCCAAGUGGCACUGAGGUAAGACCUCCCCCACACUAACUUACACAGAACAUAAUCCCACCCACACACUCUUUCCCAACCAAUCCCAUGCAUCUAUCCCCACACUCCUAAAUGUGCCCAUGUCCGCUUAGCUGCGCUAUCUCCCCAGGGCCUGCAUCGCGAUUCCCUUACUACGUACAUACAUGAAUUCCUCCCCAACAUCCUCUCCUGCCAAUGAUCAAGGUAAGGAAGAGAGAUGGGGGAGUAUGUUUUUUGCCCCAUGUCUCCACCUCUAAUCUAGCAGUCCCUGUCCCUCCCUCUUACCCUGCAGCUCCUGCCCCCCCUCACGAAUGGGUAAGAGGGGGCAGGAGCCCUAUUAUCGGCGAGUGUUAGUUGAAAGGGCCAUGCUAGUUAAGACUAGACUAUGAUAUCCAGGACUAGCUCCUGCCCCCUCUUACCCUGCAGCUCCUGCCCCCCUCACCCUGCAGCCCCUGCCCAAUCUUACCCUGCAGCCCUUGCACCCUCUCACCCGCAGCCCCUGCCCCCCUCUCACCCUGCAGCCCCUGCCCCACAUUACACUACCCCUCUCUGACCCGCAGCCUCUGCUCCCCAUUACCCUGCAGCCCCUGCCCCCUCUCACCUGCAGCCCCUGCCCCCUCUCACCCUGCAGCUCCUGCCCCCCCACCCUGCAGCCCCUGCCCCUCUCACGGCAGCCCUGUCCCCAUUACCCUGCAGCCCUGCCCCCCCCCUCUCCGCAGCUCCUGCCCCCUCUUACCCUACAGCCCCUGGCCCCCCUCUCACCCUACAGAUCCUGCCUCCCUAUUACCCUGCAGCUCCUGACACCCUUACCCUGCAGCCCCUGACCCCCUCUCACCCUGCAGCCCCUGGACAAGAUGUUUGAUAUUACAUCUUUGGUAGCUUUCGCUACUUUUUGCCACCUCAGGUUAAAACUAUCCCACAAUACCAUCAAGCUAUACUUAACCAGCAUUCAGCAUCAUAUGUAUUUAUUAUUUCCAGACAACCCCAGUUUUCUUUCUUCUUUUCCAAUUAUGACCAUACUUAAAGGCAUACACGAAGCCAGCGGUCCUACCCCACAUCAAAGGUUACCCAUUGUUACGACACGUACCGUCGGGUAAAUGAAGCCGCCGUUUAGUCAGUAAUCCCCUUCUCCAGAAAUGCAGUUUAAAUCCAGCCGACCGCCAAACUCCCGAACGAAGUCCACGAACACGUCAAACUCCCGAUCAGCAAAACAGUCGAACGCCUUCCACAGCUAAAAAUAACGAAAGCGCUGUCCCAGUAAUAAUUCCCCCACAAACGAGACCAAGCUCCGUGUUGAGGGUCAAAUGAAGAUCUGUUUAAUGGGGGCUACCUGCCCGGUAUUUAUGCAGGUCUCCACAAGGUGGACACUCCCCGAGGGGACCUUGUGGAAGACUGUAAGACAUAUUGAACAGUAGCCAAUCGCAGUGGCUUCAAUAAUAGCCCUUCCCAUCUUGCCCAUAAUUCCGUCUUCUCUACCUCGGAGAUAAUUAGGAAGAAACCUAAUUAUCUCCUAAGGUAGAGACAAUCGCCAUUUUACUUUACAAUAAUAAAAAUACAUUAAAAUACAUAACUGCAGAAAUACCGAAUGCAUAUGGUUCGUGUAACGUUUCUCCAGACAGCCUGGAUCUGAGGGCAUGUUUUCACCGAAUAGCGCUCAGAUCCGAUGUAUCUAGUCGAAUCGCCAUGGAGUCAAAGUCUUUCACCAGUCCUUCGGUAUACGAAUGACUCCAUGGGAUGGCUGUCGGGGUGAAAGUCCAUACGAAUGAAUAAAACUCCCGAACGACCGACGUUCGCAUGCCUUGUCGAAAUGGAAGGUAGGCAGCAGCUUCCAGCGGUGUUCGGUAGUUUAAGUGUCCGUUUUUAGUUCCAUACAGUUUGUACCGAACACCGCUCUGUGUUGUCCCAAAAUGGCCGCUGCCUCGUGGUCGACAUGCGAACGACGACCACCCGUACGAAUGGAAUGGAGAGGUGUCUGCGGUUGACCACAACGUUCUAAUUGGGGCCAAGAGGUUAACCAGCAGCACACUCCUCUCCUGGGUGGUCGUUCGUUCGGUAGUUUCAAUCGGUAGUUUGCAAAUUACACGAACGGGGUUAUAUGAACAGGCAAUUCAGCGAACAAAGGGAAACAGACGAACCAGCAAUACAGAUGAAUCUGUCACACCCAUUUAUAAACAAUUAUUUAAAGAUAUGUCAGAUUUGCUAGACGGAGCCCCAUUUGAACACAUCACUGUCUUCCCCUCUCACCCUGCAGCCCCUGACCCUUCUUACCCUGCAGUUCCUGCUCCCUAUUACCCUGCAGCCCCUGCCCCCCUCUCACCCUGCAUCCCCUGCCCCCUCUCACCCUGCAGCCCCUGCCCCUUAUUGCCCUGCAUUCCCUGUCCCCCCCUCUCAUACACUGCAUCCUCUAUUUGCCCCCUCUAACCCAGAAGCUUCUGUCCCGCCACCCAGCACUCCCACCAGGACCCCCCUUUUCACCCCUCACCCAGCAGUUGCUGCCCCCUCUCUCACCUUGCAGCCCCAUGUCCCCUCUCACACUCUGCAGCCCCAUGUCCCCUCUCACACCAUGCAGCCCCAUGUCCCCUCUCACACUCUGCAGCCCCAUGUCCCCUCUCACACUCUGUAGCCCCAUUUCCCCUCUCACACCUGCGGUCCCAUGUCCCCUCUCACACCCUGCAGCCCCUGCCCCCCCUCUCACCCUGCAGCCCCAUGUCCCCACUCCACCAUGCAUCCCUGCCCCCUCUCACCCUGCAGCCCCAUGUCCCUCUCACACCAUGCAGCCCCAUGUCCCCUCUGCCAUGCAGCCCCAUGUCCAUCUCUCACACUCUGCAGCCCCAUGUCCCCUCUCACCAUGCAGCCCCUUGUCCAUUCUCACCUCCUGCAGCCCCAUGUCCCGUCUCACACCAUGCAGCCCCAUGUCCCUCUCACACCAUGCAGCCCCAUGUCCAUUCUCACUCUCUGUCUCAGCCCCAUGUCCCCUCUCACACCAUGCAGCCCAUGUCCCCACCUCUCACACCAUAUGCAGCCCCAUGUCCCCUCUCACACUCUGCAGCCCCAUGUCCCCCUCUCACACCAUGCAGCCCCAUGUCCCCUCUCACACUCUGCAGCCCCAUGUCCCCUCUCACACUCUGCAGCCCCAUGUCCUCCUCUCACACCCUGCAGCCCCAUGUCCCCUCUCACACUCUAAAUCUUUUAUUCCACCCUUACACAACACAUUGUCUCCCCCUCACACAGCAUCCCCUAUCGUCUCCCCCUCACACACACGCAUCGCCUAUCACCCUCAUGCUACACGUGGACUGCCCUGAGGGGUAUUAAACAAAUGUGUCCACUUUGGAGAAGCAUUAAUGACAUUGGUUAUGACACAACAUGCACCACCUUGGGCCACACCCCUCCGAGGGCUGCUUUGCCUUUAAAUGCCUAGGCUGAAUUUUUGUCCCAGUCCGGCCUUGUAUCCGACCAUGUUUCUAUUAUGCCUAUUAUGUCAUAUUGUUUAGUGUAUGCUAUUGCCUCUAGUUCCCCCAUUUUGUUAUUUAUGCCCCUUGCAUUAGUAAGCAUAUAUUUAAUAUUACAACGAGUCACUUGUACUUUUUGUGAAUAUAUAUAUAUAUUUGUGCUCGGUGCAACCAUCGUUAAGAUAAAUGUAUACUUUGUAGUGACGUAACCUGUAUAGAGGAAAAAGUUGGUUGAUGUGUGCCGGAAUCGAUGUAUGCAGUAGGCCGGUAAAUAAAGUGGGAAAAAGCAGAAGUAUCAUGCCAAAGAAUAUUUAUUAACACAGAGAACAUAAUGCAAAGGGAUAUACCUCAAGAUGACAUUUUCUCAAAAGCCCUCUGUAUUUCUUAAACUGGUAUAUAGACUUCCAUCAACCUCGUGAUUUGAUAACAUGGACUGGUAUGUCCUGAAUGGAUGCAGUAGAAGCAGCCCCUAUCCUGAAGGAGUGUCCUGAAUAUCUACUAGAAUUCAAACCCAGUAUAUUUAGUAACACUCGUACGUACAGCAUGAAAGUGGUCAGGAAGGCCCCGUGGAGUGACAGAAAGGGUGUGUCUGAUUGCGUUGGUAGUGUGAGGAGAUAAGAAUCUAGAACCUUCACCGGGCUCCAUUUGUUUAGCGUAGGGUAAUAUGCGAUCUGAACUGGCUAACCCAGUUGGCUCGUUUUAGUAAUGGGUAAUGAUAGGACAUAGUGAUCUUGGUGUUUUACUAGAUAGGAGCAUUGGAGGCAUUCUUGGGAGUUAUGUUUAUUAUGGAUGGUGAAUUCUCAGCGUCUAAGGAACCCAUAAUAAGCCAGGUAAAUUGCUGUUUUAAUAAAUUAAUUAGUGAUGUGUUCAAAUGGGGCUCCGUCUAGCAAAUCUGACAUAUCUUUAAAUAAUUGUUUAUAAAUGGGUAACCUUUGAUGUGGGGUAGGACCGCUGGCUUUGUGUAUGCCUUUAAGUAUGGUCAUAAUUGGAAAAGAAGAAAGAAAACUGGGGUUGUCUGGAAAUAAUAAAUACAUAUGAUGCUGAAUGCUGGUUAAGUAUAGCUUGAUGGUAUUGUGGGAUAGUUUUAACCUGAGGUGGCAAAAAGUAGCGAAAGCUACCAAAGAUGUAAUAUCAAACAUCUUCUCCAGUGUAUGUUCUAACAGGAAUUUCUUAUAUAAUGAAAAAGCCCUAUUGUAAUAUCGGCAAGUGUUAGUUGAAAGGGCCAUACUAGUUAAGACUAGACUAUGAUAAAGUAACUCCUUUAAUCCAGGACUAGCUCCUGGAACAGAGGGGCGGCUGUGGCUACCCAUGAGGCGGUGGGUAGAGUUCUCCUGAACGUCUGAAAUUUAAAGCAGGACAAUUGGUCAGUCUCCUAAUGAACCUCAUAAUAGUCAGUGAGGAUGAACGCACUUUGUUUAUAAUAUGGGAAGUAGCUAGGUUGUCGGAAAGACAUCGUACUGAACAACCAGCCCAUGAUUGGCCCCAUGCUACAGCUACCGCAAUGAUGGGAUAUAUCUCGAAUAAGGCCGAGUUGCAGGAGAACUCUUCAAUAUCCUGCACCUCCUCUGGCCAACCACCCCAGAGCCAUUUGUCACCAAAUAUGGCCGCAAAACCAGUGGUAGCUGCUGCAUCCGUCCAGAUGACGGGGGAAUGUAUUGACAACUGUGGGAGAAACAUGCUUCUCCCAUUCCAGCGUAACAGGAAUUUGCGCCACAUGAGUAGGUCAGCAGUAGCCUGAGGAUAGAGGGGGAUACGAUUAUAAUCGUUGGCUAAGGAGUCUAGUGAUAAAGGCUCUACCUUGCAGGAUAAUCCUUAUGGUAAAAUUAAGGGAACCCAACAGAGAUUGUAACUCGUUGCGGUUGCAGGUACCCACUUGUAUGUGUUGGUUAGUAACCUGUAGGAUAUUAUCUAUUUUUCCUAAUGGGAGACUGGCUUCCAUGGCCACAUAAUCCUAUCAAUUUCUUUCUAUCUAUCUAUUUAUUUCCCAGGAAUCUUAUAAAGGUGUCAGGAUCGUCUGUCUUUUUGGGAGAGACUGGUACACCUAAGGAAUGUGUAACGGAACCGCUGGCACCCCGACCGGGUACCUCCCGCUGACGGAUGCUCCUAGUGCUUUCCGAGGACUGCAAGCACUCUGCCCAACGCCAUAACCACUGCAGACCCCACGAACCACUGCAGCUUGGUUGGGGUCUCGCCGUCUCCACCCACUCUGUACCCAAGACCAGGGUCCAGCUUCCAGUAGGUCGAGCUCUCGGAAUUCCAGAGAGCAGGAACAAGCUCUUAGCAGAGCUUAGUGAUUAUACCCUGGGGAGUAUAGUGAUUAUAGCAAUCCCCAGAGUGUAGUUCUCCAAUCCCCCAAACAUGAGCCGAAACUUCAUGAAGUUACAAGAUGAUCUGCCCUUAAUUGGCACCAAAGGGCCUUCUUUUAUUCAUUACUUAGACAAUUUUCUUUUCAUCAGGAAAGCUGGACCCUCUGAACACUUUCAUGUCUAUUGCUCAGCAAUUUAGCAUUUCAUUGCCACGGGAGAAAACAGUCUGGCCUAGUACUUGUCUUUUUUGGGUAUAAUUAUUGACUCUGAAAGAAUGGAAUUACCUGAAGAGAAAAUAGUUAAAAUGAAGUGAGAAAUUUCCCAAUUAUUAGGUGUAACGGCACGCCAAGUAGGUGAAGGGGUUUGUAACGGACCGUUUUGCACCCAAGCAGUUAAAAAUCGUUUAGGCGAUAUGCCCCUUUCCAGAUGCACCGACAGCUACUGUAAGCACCAAUCUCCCAAACUGCAAACUACACGAAUCAUCCAACUCCUGAACAGGAAACACACGAAUACUGGAAACAGCUGAACAGGAAAAACCAUACGAAAGGUUUACACUCCUGGCAGUCAGCAUACAAUCCAAUUCCCCCAAUAACGAGACGACACUUCGUUUGAGGGUUAAGCAGAAUCUGACUGUACUGGCACACACAGCCUCUUUUAUUCCCAAUUCACAAACUUAGUACUGCCCACAGGGAUUUACAGAACAACCAAUAACACACGUACAUUACAGAAAACACUCCCAGCAAUUAUACACAAAAUCCUCCCCUCUGCCUGUGAUAUAAUUAUGGUACACAAUGGGUUAGCAUAAUUAUCACAGACUAUGGGAAAGACUUUGGCUCCAUGGCAAUUGAACUGUAUGUGUGUGCUCUGAGCGCCAUUCAGUAAUAAUGUGCGCUCAAAUCUGAGCUAUCUGGGGAUAUGUUGAAUGUACCUGUUUUGUGCAAUGGCUGCACAGUUAUAUGUUUUUAUGUGUUUUAUUGUCUUUUUCUGCCAUGUGUUCAAUGGAGUUUUGCCUCUGUCCUUGGAGAUAAUUGGAUUACUUCCCAAUUAUCUCCAGGAUAGAAGACUCUGUGGAACUGGUUUUGGGCAGAAAAGCCAUGCUUCCUUUGGUCACAAAGGGCUACGAUCUAUCUUUUGAACCACUGGACCAAUUUGUAUGAUUUCGUAUUUGGAGUAUGCUGAUUGAAAAUGUAAGUUUUAUGUGAAUGUGAUGCAUACUUUUCAAGUUAUGAAUAAUGUGGAAAAAUUGUAUUUCUCUGCUUGUGAUAAUUACAUUACCCAUUGUGUAAGGUAAUUGUAUCACAGGCAGAGGGGAGGAUUUUGUGUGGGAGUGUCUGAGUGUAUUGUAUGUGUUUAUUGGUUGUGUUCCAAAACCCUAUGGGUGGUACUAAUGUGUAUAUAAGAACAAUAAACCCACAGCUCUGUCUGUUCCUGUUUGACCCUCAAAACGGAGCUUUGUCUCGUUCUUGGGGAGAUUUAUUGUAUGCUGUUCCAGUUCGACUGCUAGGAGUGUAAACCUUUUCAUAUGGUUUUUCCUUUUCGGCUGUUUACAGCAUUCGUAUGCUUAUGCGGUUCAGUGGAUUGGUGUCUUUGGUAGCUGCCUGGAAGGGGAAGAUCUCCUAAACAGCUUUUAACCCCUUUUAUGCCUGGGGGUGCUGUUACAAUUGGUGGCAAGCGGCGGGGUCGUUCCCACAGUCAGAAGGACAGCUACAGGAGACACCAUUUCGUGAAUUUACAAGUUGGGGGCAACGCAUGUUCCUGUGAUGCUUUUGUGUAAUGUCUCUUUAAUUGGAACUCAACUGCAGAAACAAUAAGUUUCACCUCCUUUAUUUUAUUGAAGUGAACAAGGUAGACUGUAUCUUUAAAUACACAUGCAAGGAAAAAAUGCAAUGCUUAUUUGUCAACAGAGAGUUUAGAGAAAUUAAAUACUAUAAUAAUUGAUAUGACUUGCUUUCCUUGACAAGAGAUUUACUUAACUUAGAAGCACUCUGGCACUGGAAGGGUUAAUUCACCCAAUGGAGGAAGAGGAAGGAGUCUCUUUUAACAAACUGCAGUUUAGUAGUGAGAGAAAGGAAGUCCGUUUGUCCAAGCCGAGGUCUGAGAGAGGAGAAGGUAGAAAUCCGUUUACAAGCCGAGGUCUGGGGGAUGAGAAGGUAGAAAUCCGUUUACAACCCGAGGUCUGAGAGAGGAGAAGGUAGAAAUCCGUUUACAAGCCGAGGUCUGAGGGAUGAGAAGGUAGAAAUCCGUUUACAAGCCGAGGUCUGAGGGAUGAGAAGGUAGAAAUCCGUUUACAACCCGAGGUCUGAGGGAUGAGAAGGUAGAAAUCCGUUUACAACCCGAGGUCUGAGGGAUGAGAAGGUAGAAAUCCGUUUACCACCCGAGGUCUGAGAGAGGAGCCGGUAGCAUCGAGUGGGGCAGCUGAUCUUACUGCCGCACCUGAGUGUAUAAUCCAGCCCUUUGAAUCUGGCGCGGUCUUCCUAAGUAUCGUGGAAAGACCGCGUCAGAAAAAAGGGCGGAGCUAAGCGCCGUGAACCCGGAAGUGGGUUCCGGCGGCAGCAUGAAUGUUAGGUAUACCUGACAGUUCCAGUACAGCGACCCUAAAAGCAACAGAAUGUAACCAGCAGUGUUAUACGAGGAGGAGGAGGACCUGGAUGGCCGGGAUGCAUUAAGGAAAGGCAUCUGGUACCAGGCCCUGGAUAAUGUACAAUACCAGCGGGGUGAGAGUCUCCCCAGUGAAGAGCAGCGGUUGCAGAAGCAAGUGGCCCUGCAGAUGCCCUUCCUGGGAGAGCAGCCCCUGGAGGAAUGGGUGAAGGAACUAGAGCACCGGGUAUGGCAGGAGCUAUGGCUGGAGGAGCGCCUACCAGGCGCUCUGGUGGUAUAUGGCAUAGUAUAUACCCUGGACAGACGAGCAUGACAAGCCAGAGGGAGAGGAGUUUGAUGGUCCUGGCUUGUUAUGGGAGUCCUUUGCGCAGCCUGACUUCGGGAGCCCUGCGCAGACCAGACUUCAGGACAUUUUCUACGAGAGGGAGGCUAGGCAUGACUGGGAUGACCCCCAUGAGGUAGAGCAAGACCUAGCAACCCUGGAGUGGGAACUGGAGCAGGACUACCGAGAUCUCUUCCACUCCAUUGGGAAGGCUCAGCAGGACAGCAAGGUGUCAGACCCAGACCCCUUCAGCUGGGAAGAUAUUGUAGAGCUUUACUGGGAGGAACCCCAGGCGGCAAGUGGAGAUGGGACUGAGGUCUCUCCACCGGCCCUACAGGGAUGCUGGGCGGUCAGCCCAGAUCCCCAGCGGCAGAUUGAUUUGCAGGGAAUAUAGAGCCGUGUCUCCAUUCCCCAGCGGCAGUGUGAUAUGCAGGGAAUUGGGAGCCCAGUCUCCAUUCCCCAGUGGCAGGCUGAGUUACAGGGGGCAGAGAUAGUUGGUCCUGGCCCCCAGCAGCAGCGUGUGUUACAGGGAAUUGGGAGCCCAGUCUCCAUUCCCCAGCGGGAGAUACAGCAGGGAAUUGGGAGACCAGUCUCCAUUCCCCAGCGGCAGGCUGAGUUACAAGGGGCAGAGAUAGUUGGUCCUGGCCCUCAGCAGCAGCGUGUGUUACAGGGAAUUGGGAGCCCAGUCUCCAUUCCCCAGCGGGAGAUACAGCAGGGAAUUGGGAGCCCAGUCUCCAUUCCCCAGCAGCAGGCUGAGUUACAGGUGGCAGAGAUAGUUGGUCCUGGCCCCCAGCAGCAGAGUGAAUUGCAGGGAAUUGGGAGCCCAUUCCCCAGCGGGAGAUACAGCAGGGAAUUGGGAGCCCAGUCUCCAUUCCCAAGCGGCAGGCUGAGUUACAGGGGGCAGAGAUAGUUGGUCCUGGCCCCCAGCAGCAGCGUGUGUUACAGGGAAUUGGGAGCCCAGUCUCCAUUCCCCAGCAGCAGUGUGAUAUGCAGGGAAUUAGGAGCCCAGUCUCCAUUCCCCAGCGGCAGGCUGAGUUACAGGGGGCAGAGAUAGUUGGUCCUGGCCCCCAGCAGCAGCGUGUGUUACAGGGAAUUGGGAGCCCAGUCUCCAUUCUCCAGCGGCAGUGUGAUAUGCAGGGAAUUGGGAGCCCAGUCUCCAUUCCCCAGCGGCAGUGUGAUAUGCAGGGAAUUGGGAGCCCAGUCUCCAUUCCCCAGCGGCAGUGUGAUAUGCAGGGAAUUGGGAGCCCAGUCUCCAUUCCCCAGCGGCAGUGUGAUAUGCAGGGAAUUGGGAGCCCAGUCUCCAUUCCCCAGCGGCAGUGUGAUCUGCAAGGAAUAGGGAGCCCAGUCUCCAUUCCCCAGCGGCAGAGUGAUUUAUUAGGAAUUGGGAGCCCAGUCUCCAUUCCCCAGCGGCAGUGUGAUCUGCAGGGAAUAGGGAGCCCAGACUCCUUUCCCCAUCAGCAGGAAGUAUAUAUGGGAGACGNNNNNNNNNNNNNNNNNNNNNNNNNNNNNNNNNNNNNNNNNNNNNNNNNNNNNNNNNNNNNNNNNNNNNNNNNNNNNNNNNNNNNNNNNNNNNNNNNNNNCUGGUAGUGUUAUUUUGUUUGCUCGCCGGCUCAGAGUGUUAUUUUGUUUGCUCGCCAGCUCGUAGUGUUAUUUUGUAGUGUUUCGUAGUGUUAUUUUGUUUGCUCGCUGGCUCGUAGUGUUAUUUUGUUUGCUCGCCGGCUCGGAGUGUUAUUUUGUUUGCUUGCCGGCUCAGGGUGUUAUUUUGUUUGCACACUGACUCGUAGUGUUAUUUUGUUUGCUCGCCAGCUCGUAGUGUUAUUUUGUUUGCUCACCGGCUCAGAUUGUUAUUUUGUUUGCUCGCUAGCUCGUACUGUUAUUUUGUUUGCUCGCCAGCUCGCAGUGUUAUUUUGUUUGCUCGCCAGCUCGCAGUGUUAUUUUGUUUGCUCGCUGACUCGUAGUGUUAUUUUGUUUGCUCACUGGCUAGUAGUGUUAUUUUGUUUGCUCGCCAGCUCAGAGUGUUAUUUUGUUUGCUCGCCAGCUCGUAGUGUUAUUUUGUAGUGUUUCGUAGUGUUAUUUUGUUUGCUCACCGGCUCGUAGUGUUAUUUUGUUUGCUCACUGGCUCGUAGUGUUAUUUUGUUUGCUCGCCAGCUCAGAGUGUUAUUUUGUUUGCUCGCCAGCUCGUAGUGUUAUUUUGUAGUGUUUCGUAGUGUUAUUUUGUUUGCUUGCCGGCUCAGGGUGUUAUUUUGUUUGCACACUGACUCGUAGUGUUAUUUUGUUUGCUCGCCAGCUCGUAGUGUUAUUUUGUUUGCUCACCGGCUCAGAGUGUUAUUUUGUUUGCUCGCUAGCUCGUAGUGUUAUUUUGUUUGCUAGCCAGCUCGUAGUGUUUUUUUGUUUGCUCGCUGGCUCGUAGUGUUAUUUUGUUUGCUCGCCGGCUCGGAGUGUUAUUUUGUUUGCUUGCCGGCUCAGGGUGUUAUUUUGUUUGCACACUGACUCGUAGUGUUAUUUUGUUUGCUCGCCAGCUCGUAGUGUUAUUUUGUUUGCUCACCGGCUCAGAUUGUUAUUUUGUUUGCUCGCUAGCUCGUAGUGUUAUUUUGUUUGCUAGCCAGCUCGUAGUGUUUUUUUGUUUGCUCGCCGGCUCGUACUGUUAUUUUGUUUGCUCGCCAGCUCGCAGUNNNNNNNNNNNNNNNNNNNNNNNNNNNNNNNNNNNNNNNNNNNNNNNNNNNNNNNNNNNNNNNNNNNNNNNNNNNNNNNNNNNNNNNNNNNNNNNNNNNNGUUAUUUUGUUUGCUCGCCAGCUCGCAGUGUUAUUUUGUUUGCUCGCUGACUCGUAGUGUUAUUUUGUUUGCUCGCUGGCUCGUAGUGUUAUUUUGUUUGCUCGCCGGCUCGGAGUGCUAUUUUGUUUGCUUGCCGGCUCAGGGUGUUAUUUUGUUUGCUCACUGACUCGUAGUGUUAUUUUUGUUUGCUCGCCAGCUCGUAGUGUUAUUUUGUUUGCUCGCCGGCUCGUAUUGUUAUUUUGUUUGCUCGCUAGCUCGUACUGUUAUUUUGUUUGCUCGCCAGCUCGCAGUGUUAUUUUGUUUGCUCGCCAGCUCGCAGUGUUAUUUUGUUUGCUCGCUGACUCGUAGUGUUAUUUUGUUUGCUCACUGGCUAGUAGUGUUAUUUUGUUUGCUCGCCAGCUCAGAGUGUUAUUUUGUUUGCUCUCCAGCUCGUAGUGUUAUUUUGUAGUGUUUCGUAGUGUUAUUUUGUUUGCUCACUGGCUCGUAGUGUUAUUUUGUUUGCUCACUGGCUCGUAGUGUUAUUUUGCUUGCUCGCCAGCUCAGAGUGUUAUUUUGUUUGCUCGCCAGCUCGUAGUGUUAUUUUGUAGUGUUUCGUAGUGUUAUUUUGUUUGCUUGCCGGCUCAGGGUGUUAUUUUGUUUGCACACUGACUCGUAGUGUUAUUUUGUUUGCUCGCCAGCUCGUAGUGUUAUUUUGUUUGCUCACCGGCUCAGAUUGUUAUUUUGUUUGCUCGCUAGCUCGUACUGUUAUUUUGUUUGCUCGCCAGCUCGCAGUGUUAUUUUGUUUGCUCGCUGACUCGUAGUGUUAUUUUGUUUGCUCACUGGCUAGUAGUGUUAUUUUGUUUGCUCGCCAGCUCAGAGUGUUAUUUUGUUUGCUCGCCAGCUCGUAGUGUUAUUUUGUAGUGUUUCGUAGUGUUAUUUUGUUUGCUCACUGGCUCGUAGUGUUAUUUUGUUUGCUCACUGGCUCGUAGUGUUAUUUUGCUUGCUCGCCAGCUCAGAGUGUUAUUUUGUUUGCUCGCCAGCUCGUAGUGUUAUUUUGUUUGCUUGCCGGCUCAGGGUGUUAUUUUGUUUGCACACUGACUCGUAGUGUUAUUUUGUUUGCUCGCCAGCUCGUAGUGUUAUUUUGUUUGCUCACCGGCUCAGAGUGUUAUUUUGUUUGCUCGCUAGCUCGUAGUGUUAUUUUGUUUGCUAGCCAGCUCGUAGUGUUUUUUUGUUUGCUCGCUGGCUCGUAGUGUUAUUUUGUUUGCUCGCCGGCUCGGAGUGUUAUUUUGUUUUCUUGCCGGCUCAAGGUGUUAUUUUGUUUGCACACUGACUCGUAGUGUUAUUUUGUUUGCUCGCCAGCUCGUAGUGUUAUUUUGUUUGCUCACCGGCUCAGAUUGUUAUUUUGUUUGCUCGCUAGCUCGUAGUGUUAUUUUGUUUGCUAGCCAGCUCGUAGUGUUUUUUUGUUUGCUCGCCGGCUCGUACUGUUAUUUUGUUUGCUCGCCAGCUCGCAGUGUUAUUUUGUUUGCUCGCUGACUCAUAGUGUUAUUUUGUUUGCUAGCCAGCUCGUAGUGUUUUUUUGUUUGCUCGCUGGCUCGUAGUGUUAUUUUGUUUGCUCGCCGGCUCGGAGUGUUAUUUUGUUUUCUUGCCGGCUCAAGGUGUUAUUUUGUUUGCACACUGACUCGUAGUGUUAUUUUGUUUGCUCGCCAGCUCGUAGUGUUAUUUUGUUUGCUCACCGGCUCAGAUUGUUAUUUUGUUUGCUCGCUAGCUCGUAGUGUUAUUUUGUUUGCUAGCCAGCUCGUAGUGUUUUUUUGUUUGCUCGCCGGCUCGUACUGUUAUUUUGUUUGCUCGCCAGCUCGCAGUGUUAUUUUGUUUGCUCGCUGACUCGUAGUGUUAUUUUGUUUGCUCGCCAGCUCGUAGUGUUAUUUUGUUUGCUCACCAGCUCGUAGUGUUUUUUUUGUUUGCUCGCCGGCUCAUACUGUUAUUUUGUUUGCUCACCGGCUCAGAGUGUUAUUUUGUUUGCUCGCCAGCUCGUAGUGUUUUUUUUGUUUGCUCGCCGGCUCGUACUGUUAUUUUGUUUGCUCACCGGCUCAGAGUGUUGUUUUGUUUGCUAGCCAGCUCGUAGUGUUACUUUGCUUUGUCGCCAGCUCGUAGUGUUAUUUUUUUUUGCUUGCCAGCUCUAGUGUUGUUUUUUUUGCUUGCCAGCUCGUAGUGUUAUUUUGUUUGCUCGCUGGCUCGGAGUGUUUGAAACGGCUACCCAGGUUGUAGAGGGGUAUUAGCCGUUGGAGACGUCCUUCUUCCUGGCAAGAUGCUGUGCUGUAGUGGAGUUGCGCUAUUCCAUCUGCUGAAUCUGAGUAGAGAGUAAAGCAGAGCUCUUAAAAGAGCUACUGAUUAUGCUGAGCAGAUUCCCUUUUAAUAACGAGACGAGGCUACAUUUUGAAGGGUGAAGUAGAACUGUUUUAAUGACCACACAAGCAGCUGCUUUUAUGCAGGUUUUACAGUAAGGUUGCCACCCACGUGGACCUUGUGGGGCACUGACAAUGGGAAUGCAACAUCCAAUCAGUUACAAUUGUACAGUAAAAGCACACCCAUGAAUUACAGUACAUUCCUCCCCUCUGCUUAGGAGAUAAUUGAGUUAAUCGUUAUAUCAGCUCAAUUAUCUCCAAGCUAAAAAAUAUACUUUUCCACAUUUUUCAUAACUUUAAAACUAUGCAUAGGAUUUUAACAAAAGUUACAUUUUAAUAACCAAUACAUUCAGGGAAACAACAUAUCCAGAAAUGGAACAAACAGGCCCAGUGUUUUUCACUAAUAGUGAAAAGGUGGAUGUGACCAACCACUCACACAUUUCUCUGCCCAGAAUAGUUCCACAGUUUCAGUCUCUGCAGUCGGACUAUUACCCCUUUGUAAUAAGUCUAAAAUGCACGAACGGAAUUGUUUGUGCCUGACAUCACUGGAUCUAGUUUGUUCGGAUGAACAAACUAACGAAUUAGCGCUUUGUUCGUAUGAGUCUAGUCGAACGCACAGAAGGUAGAAGUUCAGCGGUGUUCGUGAAAAUAGGUAGCCAAAAACAGUUCCACCGGUCGACGACCAAACACCGCUGAGUGCGUUCGACUAAACAAAAUGGCCGCUGCCACGUGUUUGCACAUAUGAACGCUGACUCGGUUAAUCCAUUGGAACGUUGAGGUAUUUGUGGUUUAUAACAGGUCAAGCGGGUUAAUUGCUGGCACACUCCUGCUCUGGGUGGUCGGUCGUUCGACAAAAAAUAUGGUAUUCGAACAGCUAAGGCCAAAUGCACGAUUAGUCACUUUGGGGAAUGCAAAUACACGAACAGUGUUCUCGGUGAUAGGAAGCAAUGUUAAUGACUGUAAGGAAAAGGUUUUGGGUACCCCGUUGGGCUAAGGUUCCCAGGAAAUACUGUAGAUUCUGUUACAGUGUUAUUUUGCUUGCUCGCCAGCUCGUAGUGUUAUUUUUUUUUGCUCGCCAGCUCGUAGUGUUAUUUUGUUUGCACGCUGACUCGUAGUGGUAUUUUGUUUGCUCGCCAGCUCAGAGUGUUAUUUUGCUUGCUCGCCAGCUCGUAGUGUUAUUUUGUUUGCUCAACAGCUCGUAGUGUUAUUUUGCUUGCUCACCGGCUCAGAGUGUUAUUUUGCUUGCUCGCCAGCUCGUAGUGUUAUUUUGUAUGCUCUCCAGCUUUGCAUUGCAUGCUAGUUUAGUUUAUAGAUUUGCCUUGCUGGCACAUCUCCUGCAAGUCUGUGAUAGGAAAUUUGAGUUUAUAUGUGACAUUACCUUUUUGAUUACUUUUUUCCAAUUUCCAGCUUUACUUAGAGAAUAAUCAAGGUCGGCAGAACCUGCAUGCCGAGUUAGCACAGUUAUCUUCUAUAGUGCGCAGUGAGAGCGUUAUAUUCUGCGAAAUGGAACAGCUUUAUAAAUAGAAUCGCGUUUUUCUUAUUACCGCGUACAGUAUUUUGCCAAUUGCUGUGUCUUGGCCCUCAUACAGAGCCGCAGUGGUUCCCUCCUCUCUCUGCUCUGGGAAUAGGCUUCUGCGGUGUCGGUUACACUGUGUUUCAGCUCUUGUGGUUUUUCUUAUCAUAUUUUCUUGUUAAUCAAUGUCCUUGGGUAAGAGGUUGCUAUGGUAACCAGCUAUCUAAUUCAAAUUGGGCCAGUGGCCAUGAUAUUCUCACAGGCUGCAGGUUAACCUGCGAUGGCGGCCCUUGGUCCACGUUACCUGGGACACGGCUAUGCACCGUGCCAUGUCUUGGAUUUAACUCUGUAUGAGCCAAACAGUGAAAGGGACAGGCGUGACACGUCCAUUAAUAAAACUGUCAUUAACAUCAAAAUGCUGCUUACUCAGAAUGGAGCAAUCGCUACAGAAAGUGCUGGAAUGCUGCAUUGCUCGUCAUAAACCGCCCUGCGCUCCCCGUGAUCCCACUCGGCUGCAUGCGGAGAUCUGUCUGCACAGAAAUCACCGUCCAGUGAGGCACUAAAUAGCACCUACCCCAAGCAGAGCCAGCAGCUCGCCCAUGGAGGACCCACCGUAUAGACACCCAGUAAAGCCCCACCGCCAACAGCCAGUCCAAUCCAGGGAAAUAAGGAAAUCUCCCAGCACAAACCUUGUACAAAAAAGGUGUCUCUUUAUGGAACGGACAAAUCAAAUGGCCUCUAAGAGGUUUGGAUUAUUGUUAUUAUUAUUUUUAUAGCACCCACAUAUUCUGCUGCGCUGUAUAACAGGUGGACUAACAGACACGUAUUUGUAACCAGACAACUUGGAGGCACAUGAACAGAGGGAUUGAGGCCCUGCUCAAAGAGCUCACAUUCUAGAUAGACUGUUAGUGGCCGUAACGUCACCCCUUUGAUUUGGCGCUUCCCCCGUGCUGUCAGCUUUGUGCUGGAAGAUUGUCUUAUUUCUACCCUAAACACACACGGUUCCUGCAACAAGAUACCCAACGCCCAUUAUACCCUCUAAUUGCUUGAAAGCAGAGCUUGUUCAAUCUCGAGACAGAGUUUGUUCAAUCUCGCUAUUUUGGCCUUAAAUUUGAAAUUCACUUUGAAUUCUCACGUUAGUAAAUAACCGUGAUAGUCUUUAUUAUAGAAACAGAUAACCUGUUACUGUCUGCAGGCAGUUAGUGCCUAUUAACACCAUACCUCCCAAGUGUCCCUAUUUUGGAUGACAGUCACUAUAUUCUACCCAAUUCCCUCUUUCUUUCCUAAUUUCCCUCUAUUUUAGGAGCUUCAUAUUGUUGGUGUGUCUGAGUGUAUAACAGAGCUCCACUGCAAUAAUACUUCCAGUAAUGUGUCAGAGUGUAUAACAGAGCUCCACAGCAAUAAUACUCCCAGUAAUAUGUCUGAGUGUAUAACAGAGCUCCACAGCAAUAAUACUCCCAGUAAUGUGUCUGAGUGUAUAACAGAGCUCCACAGCAAUAAUACUCCCAGUAAUGUGUCUGAGUGUAUAACAGAGCUCCACAGCAAUAAUACUCCCAGUAAUGUGUCUGAGUGUAUAACAGAGCUCCACAGCAAUAAUACUCCCAGUAAUGUGUCUGAGUGUAUAACAGAGCCCCACAGCAAUAAUACUUCCAGUAAUGUGUCUGAGUGUAUAACAGAGCUCCACUGCAAUAAUACUUCCAGUUAUGUGUUUGAGUGUAUAACAGAGCUCCACAUCAAUAAUACUCCCAGUAAUGUGUCUGAGUGUAUAACAGACCCCCACAGCAAUAAUACUCACAGUAAUGUAUCUGAGUGUAUAACAUAGCUCCACAGCAAUAAUACUCCCAGUAAUGUGUCUGAGUGUAUAACAGAGCUCCACAGCAAUAAUACUCCCAGUAAUGUGUCUGAGUGUAUAACAGAGCUCCACAGCAAUAAUACUCCCAGUAAUGUGUGAGUGUAUAACAGAGCUCCACAGCAAUAAUACUCCCAGUAAUGUGUCUGAGUGUAUAACAGAGCUCCACAGCAAUAAUACUCCCAGUAAUGUGUCUGAGUGUAUAACUGAGCUCCACAUCAAUAAUACUCCCAGUAAUGUGUCUGAGUGUAUAACAGAGCUCCACAGUAAUAAUAUUCCCAGUAAUAUGUCUUGGUGUAUAACAGAGCUCAACAGCAACAAUACUCCCAGUAAUGUAUCUGAGUGUAUAACAUAGCUCCACAGUAAUAAUACUCCCAGUAAUGUGUCUGAGUGUAUAACAGAGCUCCACAGCAAUAAUACUCCCAGUAAUGUGUCUGAGUGUAUAACAGUGCUCCACAGCAAUAAUACUCCCAGUAAUGUGUCUGAGUGUAUAACAGGGCUCCACAGCAAUAAUACUCCCAGUAAUGUGUCUGAGUGUAUAACAGAGCUCCACAGCAAUAAUACUCCCAGUAAUGUGUCUGAGUGUAUAACAGAGCUCCACAGCAAUAAUACUCCCAGUAAUGUGUCUGAGUGUAUAACAGAGCCCACAGCAAUAAUACUCCCAGUAAUGUGUCUGAGUGUAUAACAGAGCUCCACAGCAAUAAUACUCCCAGUAAUGUGUCUGACUGUAUAACAGAGCUCCACAGCAAUAAUACUCCCAGUAAUGUAUCUGAGUGUAUAACAGAGCUCCACAGCAAUAAUACUCACAGUAAUGUAUCUGAGUGUAUAACAGAGCUCCCUGGCAAUAAUACUCCCAGUAAUGUGUCUGAGUGUAUAACAGACCUUCACAGUAAUAAUACUCCCAGUAAUGUGUCUGAGUGUAUAACAGAGCUCCACAGCAAUAAUACUCCCAGUAAUGUGUCUGAGUGUAUAACAGAGCUUCACAGCAAUAAUACUCCCAAUGUGUGUCUGAGUGUAUAACACAGCUCCACAGCAAUAAUACCUCCAGUAAUGUGUCUGAGUGUAUAACAGAGCUCCACAGCAAUAAUACUCCCAGUAAUGUGUCUGAGUGUAUAACAGAGCUCCACAGCAAUAAUACCUCCAGUAAUGUGUCAGAGUGUAUAACAGAGCUCCACAGCAAUAAUACUCCCAGUAAUGUGUCUGAGUGUAUAACAGAGCUCCACAGCAAUAAUAAUUCCAGUAAUGUGUCUGAGUGUAUAACAGAGCUCCACAACAAUAAUAAUUCCAAAGAACGCAUUGUCUGGAGUGUAAAAUGAGCCCACAGCAAUAAUAUUCCCAGUAACGCGGUCUGAGUGUAUAACAGAGCUCUUCACACACACACCCCAGUAAAGUGUCCGGAAAGUGUGUAUACCAGAGCCCACAGCACACAUUCCAGUAAUGUAGUCUGAGGUGCUACCAGGGUUCCCCGCACACACACCCCAGUAACGUGUCUGAGUGUAUAACAGAGCUCCACUGCAAUAAUACUCCCAGUAACUGUGUCUGAGUGUAUAACAGAGCUCCACUGCAAUAAUACUCCCAGUAAUGUAUCAGAGUGUAUAACAGAGCUUCACAGCAAUAAUACUCCCAGUAACGUGUCUGAGUGUAUAAGAGAGCUCCACUGCAAUAAUACUCCCAGUAACGUGUCUGAGUGUAUAACACAGCUCCACAGCAAUAAUACUCCCAGUAAUGUGUCUGAAUGUAUAACAUAGCUCCACAGCAAUCAUACUCCCAGUAAUGUGUCUGAGUGUAUAACAGGGCUCCCCGGCAAUAAUACUCCCAGUAACGUGUCUGAGUGUAUAACAGAGCUCCACUGCAAUAAUACUCCCAGUAACUGUGUCUGAGUGUAUAACAGAGCUCCACUGCAAUAAUACUCCCAGUAAUGUAUCAGAGUGUAUAACAGAGCUUCACAGCAAUAAUACUCUCAGUAAUGUGUGAGAGUGUAUAACAGAGCUUCACAGCAAUAAUACUCCCAGUAAUGUGUCAGAGUGUAUAACAGAGCUCCACAGUAAUAAUACUCCCAGUAAUGUGUCCGAGUGUAUAACAGAGCUCCACAGCAAUAAUACUCCCAGUAACUGUGUCUGAGUGUAUAACAGAGCUCCACAGCAAUAAUACUCCCAGUAAUGUGUCCGAGUGUAUAACAGAGCUCCACAGCAAUAAUACUCCCAGUAAUGUGUCUGAGUGUAUAACAGAGCUCCACAGCAAUAAUAAUUCCAGUAAUGUGUCUGAGUGUAUAACAGAGCUCCACAACAAUAAUACUCCCAGUAAUGUGUCUGAGUGCAUAACAGAGCUCCACAGCAAUAAUACUCCCAGUAAUGUGUCUGAGUGUAUAACAGAGCUCCACAGCAAUAAUACUCCCAGUAAUGUGUCUGAGUGCAUAACAGAGCCCCACAGCAAUAAUACUCCCAAUAAUGUGUCUGCCUGUAUAACAGAGCUCCACAGCAAUAAUACUCCCAGUAAUGUGUCCGAGUGUAUAACAGAGCUCCACAGCAGUAAUAAUACUCCCAGUAAUGUGUCUGAGUGUAUAACAGAGCUCCACAGUAAUAAUACUCCCAGUAAUGUGUCUGAGUGUAAAACAGAGCUACACAGCAAUAAUACUCCCAGUAAUGUGUCUGUGUAUAACAGAGCUCCACAGCAAUAAUACUCCCAGUAAUGUGUCUGAGUGUAUAACAGAGCUCCACAGCAAUAAUACUCCCAGUAAUGUGUCUGAGUGUAUAACAGAGCUCCACAGCAAUAAUACUCCCAGUAAUGUGUCUGAGUGUAUAACAGAGCUCCACAGCAAUAAUACUCCCAGUAAUGUGUCUGAUUGUAUAACAGAGCUCCACAGCAAUAAUACUCCAGUAAUGUGUCUGAGUGUAAAACAGAGCCCCACAGCAAUAAUACUCCAGUAAUGUGUCUGAGUGUAUACAGAGCCCCACAGCAGUAAUGUGUCUGAGUGUAUAACAGAGCUCCACAUCAAUAAUACUCCCAGUAAUGUGUCUGAGUGUGUAACAGAGCUUCACAGCAAUAAUACUCCCAGUAAUGUGUCUGAGUGUAUAAUAGAGCUCCACAGCAAUAAUACUCCCAGUAAUUUGUCUGAGUGUAUAACAGAGCUCCACAGCAAUAACACUCCCAGUAAUGUGUAUGUGUGUAUAACAGAGCUCCACAGCAAUAAUACUCCUGGGUGUCAACCUUGUGGGGAGCUGUGUAUAACAGAGCUCCACAGCAAUAAUACUCCCAGUAAUGUGUCUGAGUGUAUAACAGAGCUCCACAGUAAUAAUACUCCCAGUAAUGUGUCUGAGUGUAUAACAGAGCUCCACAGCGAUAAUACUCCCAGUAAUGUGUCUGUGUAUAACAGAGCUCCGCAGCAAUAAUACUCCCAGUAAUGUGUCUGAGUGUAUAACAGAGCUCCACAGUAAUAAUACUGCCAGUAAUGUGUCUGAGUGUAUAACAGAGCUCCACAGCAAUAAUACUCCCAGUAAUGUGUCUGAGUGUAUAACAGAGCUCCACAGUAAUAAUACUCCCAGUAAUGUGUCUGAGUGUAUAACAGAGCCCACAGCAAUAAUACUCCCAGUAAUGUGUCUGAGUGUAUAACAGAGCUCCACAGCAAUAAUACUCCCAGUAAUGUGUCUGUAUAACAGAGCUCCACAGCAAUAAUACUCCCAGUAAUGUGUCUGAGUGUAUAACAGAGCUCCACAGCAAUAAUACUCCCAGUAAUGUGUCUGAGUGUAUAACAGAGCUCCACAGCAAUAAUACUCCCAGUAAUGUGUCUGAGUGUAUAACAGAGCUCACAGCAAUAAUACUCCCAGUAAUGUGUCUGAGUGUAUAACAGAGCUCCACAGCAAUAAUACUCCCAGUAAUGUGUCUGUGUAUAACAGAGCUCCACAGCAAUAAUACUCCCAGUAAUGUGUCUGAGUGUAUAACAGAGCCCCACAGCAAUAAUACUCCCAGUAAUGUGUUAUAACAGAGCUCCACAACAAUAAUACUCCCAGUAAUGUGUCUGUGUAUAACAGAGCUCCACAGCAAUAAUACUCCCAGUAAUGUGCCUGAGUGUAUAACAGAGCCCCACAGUAAUAAUACUCCCAGUAAUGUGUCUGAGUGUAUAACAGAGCUCCACAGCAAUAAUACUCCCAGUAAUGUGUCUGUGUAUAACAGAGCUCCACAGCAAUAAUACUCCCAGUAAUGUGUCUGAGUGUAUAACAGAGCUCCACAGGAAUAAUACUCCCAGUAAUGUGUCUGAGUGUAUAACAGAGCUCCACAGUAAUAAUACUCCCAGUAAUAUGUCUUUAAACUACAAUAAAUGUGUUUAUUAAUCAGUCGGUGUAAAUAAGACACAUUGUUCUUGUUAUAAAUUACAUUUAAUUCUAUAAAUUUUUAUUAGUAAGUCAGAACAGACUGCCCCUGCCCACUUCCUCACUCACCCCCCUAAAAUUAAAGGGUCCCUCUUUGUCCAUGGGAAAUGUGAGACUGUAUGUAAGAGCACUUUGCAGAAAUCACACAUUUAUAAUCCAUCCCCGUUUCUGAUAGACAUCACUGGAGGAAUCGAUGAGUUCAUCUCUGCAUGUACACCUAUGUUGACAUAUACUAAGUGUCUGCUGUACAGCUUACUGUAAGGUCACAUCUAAACCUUCAUUCAUUGACACCAAGAAAGUACUAACGAGAACACUGACACUGGCCAUUAAUUCAACAGCCUCCAUGGGGGCUGAAUUAGCGGUGUGAACAAGAUAAAAUAUUAAUUUAGAGGGUGGGCGCAUGUAUAGUAUUAACGUAAGAGCAAAUAAUUUUUCUGUUUUCCUCACUCGGUAUGUCUGUCUGUGACAUGUCUUGAUUCCCCUACUACCUCUGAUGGAAUCCUGUGCCACGCGUCCACUACCUUUUCAUCGCCCUGUGCAUGUAGGCUGCUGCAGAUAAACUCUCAUAAGAUUUAAUUACCAUUUGUCACCAGGUAUUACUGCAGACGCUAGGGACGAGUAGACGAAUUGGUGGUGACAUUUUCAGGAGGAGAGCUUGAAUAUAAAAGCACUCUUUAAACACUUCAUUUUUAGUACAAUCUCUGCCUGCUUUGUAAAGUAGGGUACAUUGUUACCAUGGAAACCUUCUUCACUGGUGGGAUGCCUGAGACAGGGAUGACAUAGCUGCAACUCUGCUGCUGACUGAGAGUAUUGGGAGUUUUGAAUCCGAUAUACAGACUGGCCAUUUCAACCCUCAGACACACAGACCUUAAUGGACAGAUUUAAACCAUAAACUCACACUUCAUUUUCAGACAAUGUUAUCAGGCUUCGAUCGGAAACAGGAAAACCUGCAAACUUGUUUUGAUAAAGUGAACAUUUUCCUAACGUCCAGGAUUUUUGUAAUAAAAACAGUUCUUAACUUUAAUUCACAUAUUCACACAGUUAGUUGUGACGCAAAAUUCUCAUAUCAUUAACACACAGAAUGUGCAAAGUUGCCCAUAAAACAUCCAUAUCGUCUAUCGUCUUACCGUCUUGAAUAAAGUAAAAGACUCCCACCCGCCAUACCCUGCAAGGCCCCAUCCCCAACGGUAAGGCUUACCAUCCUUGCGGUAGAAGGAAAUCUCCACCUUACGCUCCUCGGAUCCCACCAGAGCCUGGGCGAUUUGAGACACAGCGCUGGAGGUGGUACGCGGUCCGUACAGGAAAUCACAGGUACACGGCCUCUGCAUGACCUCAGCCCGUGUAUACCCACACAUGGUACAGAAGCCAUCGUUACAGUAAAUGACUGCGCAGUUUUCCACACGGGCAUUGGCGAUGAUGAAUUUGCGGCCUGUGCACACACAAAAUAAAAAGAGUUAUGUUAAAGAUUUAAGGCGUUUAUGAUGCAUUAUUUAUAUUGAAAUGCUUUCCAUUUAAAAAGGAGAUUGUAGAACAUUAUCCCGACAUAGCAAGCACCCAAGCUGGGCGACCGGGCCCUGUAAUAUCUGCAGCCGGGGUGCAAGUGAGAGCCGGUCACUUCAUCCCAAAUACAUGUAUACAUGGGAGGGAUACAGGGAGAGCAAGGAGAAUGAGUCGGUCACUUCAUCCCAGAUACAUGUAUACAUGGGAGGGAUACAGGGAGAGCAAGGAGAGUGAGUCGGUCACUUCAUCCCAGAUACAUGUAUACAUGGGAGGGAUAUGGUGGGGAGCAAGGAUGGAGAGCCGGUCACUUCAUCCCAGAUACAUGUUGUAGCAGAAUGGACCCUGCUAUCCUAAUUUAUACCAACUCUGGGCUGUCCGUAUACCCUUUGUUUUUCCCCUCCUUGACCCCCUGUGUGAGAAAGUAACCCUAAUUGUGCGAGACUCACUCCCCUGUUUCGCCUGGCCGUUCGUCAAAAUCCAUUCCCUUAAGUGGUUCCCAUGGUUUUGUACAACUACCGAACGGAGUGUGCCGCUCAUUAACUCCAUUCACACCUCCACAAACCGCAACCAUGUUCUAAGCCGUCAGCUAGAUGGUCGCCGUUCGUAUAGAUGGACACAUGGCACGGGCCAUCUUGGAACACGUACAAAGGCAGCGAUGUUUGGUCAUUGGUUGCAUGGAACUAAAAUCGGACACUCAACGGCGCGAACGCCACUAGGACUUCCACCUCCAUCAAAGUUCACCUAAAAGUGCAUGAACAGUGCACUAUUCGGUAAAAUUUACACAUUAUUUGACUUAGAAGAUAGACCGGCCACACAGCCUAAUUCUCAGCAACUCUUUUGGGCAUGAAAGUAAGCGUGCGGUCGGUCAAAUGUGACUUCCAUAGAAUUCGUGAACUCCUGCUCUGAUCUGGGUAUUUUUUGGAUAUGUUGUUUACCCAGAUCAGGGCUAUACAGGGAUGUGCCAUUCAUGGGGAUAUGUCAUGUUUUGGGGGUACUUCUAGAAAAUGUGAAAUAUGUGUUUUUCUUGCCUGGAUAUAAUUGAGUUAUUACAUUAUCUACCUCAAUUAUCUACCAGGCAGAGGGGAGGGCUUGCACAUACUGUAUGGGAGUGUCUCUAUGUAUAACCCUGUUUCAUUGGUCUGUGAACUUUGUAUUUCGGUGCCCCCACAAGGUCCACCUGGGUGUCAACCUUGUGGGGAAAAUCACAUAAAAGGCAGAGUCCCAGCAUUAAAAGUCAGUUAUUCCCCCAAAACUGAGUGUCGUCCAGUUACUGGGGAGGUGUUGGGAGAAUCUGUAUUGCUUUGCUGUGUUUAGCUGUUCCUGUGGAUUACCUUCCUUGUUCCUGAGUCAUCUUGGAGAAAACCAGCGGAAAAAGGUCCCUGCUAAGACUAGCGCUCCGCUACACAUGUAUACUUGGGAGGGAUAUGGUGGGGAGCAAGGAGAGUUAGCUGCUCAAGACCCACAUCUUAUCAACUUCAGCUAACAGCAGGACCCAGAGCAAGCCGGCGUGUAUGAGGUAUAUUAACAUGAGGGUGGCUAAAAAUGAUAACAUGUAUGUGUGUAUUUACUUAUCUAUUUGUCAGUGUGUGUGUGUGUGUGUGUGUGUGUAUGUGUAUGUGUACCUGAGUGUGUGCAUAUGGGUGUAUGUGUCAGUAUGUCAGUGUGUGUAUGUGUCAGUGUUUGUGUGUAGGUGUCAUUGUGUGUAUCUGAGUGUGUGUGAAUGUGUCAGUGUGUUUAUAUAUGUGUGUCAGUAUAUGAUAAUGUAUCUAUAUCUAUGUGCAUACAUUCCAGCAACUAAACACACUCCUACAUUAAAACUCAAUAAUUAUGUACAAACACCCCUUUGUUCAAACACCAACACUACACACAAAAGCAAACCAGCAUUUAAAAGCCAACACUACAUAUUAACACAUUGCUGCAAUCAAACAAUGCAUACAAGUAGAGGGUAGUGGAUGCAUGGAAUAGCCUUCCAGCUGAAGUGGUAGAGGUUAACACAGUACAGGAGUUUAAGCAUGCAUGGUGUGACAAACUGCCCUUUGCCCCUGGAUUUUGGAGAAGCCUGAUUGCCAGCCUUCUGCCUUAUGACUAUGGCCCUGGGGUGUAUUUUCCUUUAAGAACAAUGUCCCUUUUUAAACUGUGUCCCUAGACUGUAAAAAUCCUUUUUCCCAUUUGGUUUAGUAAAUGGGGUUACCGAACAAAAUACCGAACAAGCGGACCACACACAAGUGGAGUGUGCAGCUAAUUUAUCUCCCAGGCUGGUGGUUAACCGCAAGCCAAUUGUCGAACGGCUGGGUGGUGUGGGGAUAUUUAUGGGAUAAUAAUAGUAAACAGUUGAGAAUUGCCCACUAAUUCAAUUCUCAGAUCCCAAAGAACGUUUAUCGUGUUAAGUGGAAUGUAUUUCAUAUAAUAAUAUCACAAUGUAUAAAAAUAGAUUUUUAUUUAUAAUGACAAAUUAAUAAUAAUAUUAUGCAACAUGCAUGACAAUAAUCAAUGAAUAUCCAGUAUAAAUUGGUAUGCAAUACAAAGAAAUGGGUAUUACGUUUCAAUGGCUAAAUAGCAUUUCCUGUCAAGAAUUAUUUAUGACUAUCUUUAACACAGACUGAAAGUGAAACUUUUCACAGCGAAGAACAGAAUUCCUCAGAGUGCAGCGUAAGGUCGUAAAGUUUAGCUGACAGUUAGAAUAACCCUUUCAAUGCUGGCUAGAUCUCCUAGGUAGUUAAGAUCUAUUCUUAUGUCAUUUUUAAAUAAAAUAACAUUUAACCCAGUUCAUUAGUCAUUUCCUGAAACCAUCCAAUAAGAGAAUCUACCAUAUUAUAUAAGCAGAUUUUUAAUUUGUGUAAAAGAUAUCUAUCUUAAUUUAGAGCAAAUCAAUACACCUGGAUAAAAACAGCGGUAUGCUAACACGUGAUAAUAUCACAUCAAUAUAUAAUUAUUCUUAAUUCCACCUGCAGAAUGGAAUGUUUAUAACUAUAUAUUCUUAGUUAACUAAGAUUUCUUAAUAUGGAAAUCUGACCGUGCUUUAUCCAGUCAUAUAUAAUGCUAUUAAUACAUUUUAAUUAAUUUAAUUUAAUUAAAUGAAACCAGUAUAAUUACCAGUUGAGUAGAUAUUUCAUCCGAUUGGUAGUCUCAGGAACUUAUUUGGAUGUCUCUCUCUGCAUGGAGGUUGGAGUCCCCAAACUUCCAAUUCCUCUCUCCUCUUUUUCUUUGCAUAUCUCUUGGAUCUGCCUCCAUAUCCUGCCUCUUCCCUUUGUCUUAACUUUUAAAGGGCCAGACUCUCUGUACGUCAUCAGUUGAUAACCCAAUAGAAGCACUAGAGGUGUGGUUAUCUUCCAGAUCGCAAAUUAGUUAUUUGGUCUAUAGAGGGCAGUCUUGUCCCACUAAACAUACCUAUCCAGGAAAGAGUUAACUUUUCCUGGUGGCUCGUCAUUUUGCUUAUCUCAAAUGACCACUAUAACUUCAAAGAUCAAAGGGUUUCUUAAAUUUUGUCCAGACUAUGUGUCUGGCAAAUCUGCUAUAAUUUCUGAUAUGACAGAUCAUGAACUAAGUUUACCCUUUUCCAUACAAUGGUACCUUAUAUAUAUAGACAGUUAAAUUUUAUUAUUUAAUCUUCUCUGUCACAAUUGUCUGGGUUUAGAUUUGAUUAUAUUCUUCUUAUCACUUGUUUAUACUAUGCUAUGCAUUCCUUAGCUCUGGCAAAGAGGCCAGUCUUACAGAAAGAAAUCUAGUGUCUUCUUUGUUAACUUGAAAUAACAAAAUGGAGUCUGGUCUGUUCAGAGUGACUCAGAAUAUACACUUUUAGUUUCUAUCAUAGCACAAAAUGUCUGCCGAUAUAAAUACUCUGACAGUGGUCACUUCGUAUAGUUGAACAUGUGGCGGCGGCCAUCUUGUUUAGUCGAACGCGGUCAGCAGUGUGUUGCCUUCGAGCUCCUGGAACUAAAAUCGAAUACACGACGGCACGAACACCGCUGAACCUUACCUUCUUUGCAACUUUGACACUUCAAUGGAAAUCGAAGUGCGUUCGAAUAUUCAAAUGCCAUAUUAGCGUUGGAUAUUUGCAUGAACGGCGCCCAUUCGUGCAUUUGAAUGCAACAUAGUAUUUUAACUAUGUGAAAUAGACCAACCACACAGCCUAAAUCUAUGGAACUCUUUUGGGCAGGAAAGCCAUGCUUGCAGUCGGUCAAAUAUGACUUCCAACUAUCUUUCGAACCACUGGGCGAAUUCAUAUGAUUUUUGAAUAUGUUUGUUCACUGAUUAUGCUAGUUCAGAAAAUAUAACUUUUAUGGAAAUUGCAUGUAUAGGUUUGAAGUUAUGAAUAUUGUGUAAAACUGUAUAUUUUCUGCCUGUGAUAAUUAGCUUAGCCCAUUGUGUUCAGUAAUUAUAUCACAGGCAGAGGGGAGGGUUUGUGUGCCUUGGCUUGGAGUGUCUGACUGUACCACAAGGUCCUCGUGGCUGGUAACCUUGUGGGAAAACCUGUAUAAAAGAAAGUCCUGUGUGCUCAUUAAACCAGUUCUACUUGACCCUCAACUCGCAGCCUUGACUCGUAUUUGGAGGGGACAGCUAUAAUCACUACAGGGAUUGCUAUGCUCUUCAUACUCCCUUAGCUUCACUUAAGUUCUUGUUCCUUAUCCUGCUUCGCUCUCUGGAAGGAAGAGAGGUUCACCCACUGGAGCCUUGUCGUAGGUCAAGGGUGGGUAGGAGACGGCGAAACCCCAACCCAGCAGCGGCGGUUCGUGGGGUCUGCGGUGCUGACAGUGUUUCAGUGAGCGCUAGGAGCAUCCUUUCUAUGGUCCAACCCUCAGCUAGCUUGGGGCAACCGUAACACAUUGGAUAGGCAUAAGGCUAUCCUAACUAUAAGAUAAGGCCAGGGACGAAUGAAAGUAUUUAGAAAAUUGGGCAGACUAGAUGGGCUGAAUGGUUCUUAUCUGCCGUCACAUUCUAUGUUUCUAAGUAUACCAUUGCAUUCCAAUUGCAACAAUACAUACAGACACACCCCUACAUGCACACACAUACUCUAUACAGAAACAUGCUUACAUUCAAACACAAAAACACUGCUCACAGAUANNNNNNNNNNNNNNNNNNNNNNNNNNNNNNNNNNNNNNNNNNNNNNNNNNNNNNNNNNNNNNNNNNNNNNNNNNNNNNNNNNNNNNNNNNNNNNNNNNNNCAACCCUUCAAGGAUGGGCAAUGCUAGAUCCCCAGCUGGUGUAGCAUUGAGGGAGUUCAAUAGAUAGGAAAUUAUCUUUUGGCCAACUUUGUACUAGAAAGUACCCCAAAAAUGUCUUGCACCAGGUCCCUCACUACUUUAGUUCCGCCAUUGCAACCAGCCUGAUGAAAGUCACAAUAUGCUGCCUGAGGAUANNNNNNNNNNNNNNNNNNNNNNNNNNNNNNNNNNNNNNNNNNNNNNNNNNNNNNNNNNNNNNNNNNNNNNNNNNNNNNNNNNNNNNNNNNNNNNNNNNNNCGUGUAGUGUGUGAGUGAGGGUGCAGUGCGUGUCAGGGGUGCAGUGUGUGAGGGUGCUGUGAGUGUCAAGGGUGCAGCGUGUGUGCUGUGAGUGUCAGGGGUGCAGUGUGUGUAUGUGUGAGUGUCAGGGGUGCAGUGUGUGUGAGUGAGGGUGCUGUGAGUGUGAGGGGUGCAGUGUGUGUGCUGUGAGUGUCAGGGGUGCAGUGUGUGUGUGAGGGUGCUGUGAGUGUCAGGGGUGCAGUGUGUGUGUGUGUGAGUGUCAGGGGUGCAGUGUGUGUGUGUGAGUGAGGGUGCUGGGAGUGUUAUGUGCCCUGCUGUGCCCUGAUUAUAUCCCCCCUCCCUGCUUACCUUAUGCCUGGGAGGGGGGAUCCUGCUGCUGGGGCUUCCAUCCAUCCCUGGUGGUCCUAGUGGUGAGUGAACUCUAGCCUGUUGGGCUAGAGUUCACUCUCGCGAGACCCAGAGCGUUGCCAUGGCAACGCUCCGAAUCUCGCGAGAGGAACCCGGCGGAGCUGUAAGUUAAAGCUCCGCCGGGUUCCUCUCCUGGCAGGCUGGCUCCCUCCCUCUCUUCCCCGGCGGCCGCAGUAUUCUCUAUGUGGGCCGGUGAGGGAGAUCUCUGAUCUCCCCACCGGCCCGCUGUAGACUACUGCAGGGCCGGCGUUCAGAUAGUGCCGGCCCUGCAAAGACCGGCAGGAGAGAUCCUGUGAUCUCCCUGCCGGCCUCAGCCCCACGGCCACCGUGGCCCACCGGGCAUUUGCCCGGUGUGCCCGAUGGCCAGUCCGGGCCUGCUAGGGAGCGAUUUACAGGCCUCUUCCCCAUGUGACAGGGCUGUGACAAAACUCACUAUUUUGCUUGUGUCUAAGAUAUUCUCCUGCUAAGUUUGUUAAUAUGUUCCUGUGACGAAGUGCCCUUCGCCACUUGUGCCUGGAGAGGACUGCUUGCCCGCCUCUUGCCCUGUGACUAUGGCCCCUGGGAUGUAUUGCCCUUUAAAGACAUGAUUUGGGCAUAAUGGAUUUGUGUUGUGCUGCUGCUGGCCCUUUAAAAACCAUCUGGGGACAUACUGUGGAGUUACUGGGUGGCCACCAUUUCCUGUAUCAGAAGCACAUGGUGAGAACAAUGGAUGGCGCCAUUUUAACUCACAGACACUGUUUGGACUUUUCAACACGGUGCCAUCUUGCCAGUAUUUGGUGCACAGAGACAUCGUGCAGUGGUUUUGGACUAUACAGCAGGGGACACAUUAUAAAGUGAUUGUUUUUCAUUUAGCCUGUAUAUGUUCUGCAGAAUCUGCAUUAAACUGUAUUUUCCAAAGUACUAAUCGGAUCUGGGUGAAUUUUGGAUAUGUGGUUCACCCAGAUCCCCCGGUUCCAAGGAUAUACUUUUAUGGGGUUAUUGCAUGUUUUGGGGUCCCUGUGUGUUUUAUGAAACUGUAUUAUUUCUGGCCAGCAGAUAAUUGAGCUUUGUGUAUUGUAGAAACUCAAUUAUCUAGCCUGACCCAGAGGAGGAGUUUUGUGUUGCAUAAAUUGUGAGUUCUGUGUGCCAGUAAGUCAGUCUUGUUCCAGCAUUAAGCCUUGGCUCAUGUUUGGGGGAAGGGAUACCUACACUCUGGGGAUUGCUAUAAUCACUUACUCCCCAGAGGAAGCUCUUGCAAUAGCUUGAUUUGUUCCUGUUCCUGCUCUCUGGGAAAAGAGAGGUUCACCCACUGGAAGCUGGAUCCUGGCCUUGGGUCCAGGGUGGGUGGAGACAGCAGAGACCCCGGCGCAGUUGCAUCGCUGAAAGUGGGGUCUGCAGUGCUGAUGGUGUCGGUUGGAGUGCUUGGAGUCCUCAGCGAGCACUAGGAGCAUCGAUUGGCGGAGGUACUCAGUCGGAGUGCCAGCUUUCCAUCACAGUUCCCUAACCCCAUUCAUGUCUUCCCCGUUCAGGAGCUACAAUCGACCGAACACUGCCCACCCCCUGGCUCAUUAAACAUCAAAGAAACCACAAACUCAAGUGCUCUCUCUGUGUGGCUGCCGUUCGUAUAACUGAACAACACGUGUGCUGGAAAACGGCGGCCGUCUUGUCGCACGGACGCAGGCAGCGGGACCUGGUCGUUGUAUCUGGAACUAUAAGUUGGACACUCGACCUCGCGAACACCAUCAAUUUAAUUUGUGUGCCUGCUUCUUCCCACGACAAGCCAGGGGAGCGCUGUUCGGUAGGAUUGUUUGCACGAACAAGGUGAACAAUCGCUACCUAUGAGCCAGGGGAACCGUCUGGUUUGGAACUCCUUAAAAUGACCGACCGCUACCACUGAAUCUCUGGAACUGAUGUAUUCGUGGGAUCUGAGCACUAUUUGGACAACUUGGGCGCUCAGAUCCAGGCUAUGCAGGGAAAUAAUAUUUGUGGGGGUUUCUAUAAGGAUUAUACGUAUUCUUUAUAUUUUAUGUUUUAUAGUUUGUAACUCUAGUGCCUGGGAGAUAAUUAGUAAAGUACACUUAAUUAUCUCUCAGACAAAAAGACUCAGGGGCGUGUUGUGGGAGUGUUUGGAGCGUGUUUUACUGUAUCCUUGCUGGAGACCCCAUGCUGGAGGUCUUUGUAUAUAAGUGGGCCCUCUGGCCCUAAUAAAACAGUUCUUGCCAGCGUUAGCACCACACACCAUCGAGGUGGGUUUUUAAAAAAUGAAAUAGUACUGAAGAUAAUGAUUUGCCUAAAAGAAAGUAACGGAUAGUGUGUAAAUCUGCAUUCGUCAAUGCUUUGUAAAUACUCUUCACAGGGUUCGGAUUCGAAAAGCACGUUUUUUAAAGUAGAGACCAAAUACCUCUGGCAGAGUGUUGUAUUUUUGGUCAUUCUGUAAAUUCCAAAUAUAAGAAUAUAUUCAGAGACAGACAGGGUGUAAAAAUGAUUCCAGUGUCAAUUCGGAGUCUCUGUGCUCACUCAGUGUUUUACUCAGAUGUAGACGGACCUCGGAUCUGUUCUGUACGUUUGUAUACUGGAAACAUACACAGUUAAAUUCUUUUGUGCUGGGAAUAAAAUAACAGAAAAUUGUCCAGAUUACACAAUAAAUCUAGCACCAACAUUACUCGUGUUUUAUUAAUAGAACAUAAACAGAUCUCACAAAAUGGAAUUUAAAAAGUCACUAAAGUAUAAAAGCUAUUUAAAUGUGUGUACUAAGCACCCCAGACUAGCAUUUUGUGAUAAAAUAUUGGUUUUACCGUUUAAGGUUCAUGCUAUGUAGCAGAUGCACUGACGAGUCCGCUUGUGCAGUGGUGAUUGUGACGAGACCAAUCUCGCCACAUUGCAUUGGAGAAGCCUGGUUGCUCGCCUGCUGCCUUUGGACUANNNNNNNNNNNNNNNNNNNNNNNNNNNNNNNNNNNNNNNNNNNNNNNNNNNNNNNNNNNNNNNNNNNNNNNNNNNNNNNNNNNNNNNNNNNNNNNNNNNNCACACACACAAUAUCGUGGAAAUCACACACGCAAUCUGACAUACAAUAUCCUUUAAAUCACACACACAGUCUGACAUACAAUAUCCCGGAAAUCACACACACAAUCUGACAUACAAUAUCCCGGAAAUCACACACACAAUCUGACAUACAAUAUCCCGGAAAUCACACACACAAUCUGACAUACUAUAUCCUGGAAAUCACACACAAUCUGACAUACAAUAUCCCGGAAAUCACACACACAGUCUGACAUACAAUAUCCGGAAAUCACACACACAAUCUGACAUACAAUAUCCAGGAAAUCACACACACAGUCUGACAUACAACAUCCCGGAAAUCACACACACAAUCUGACAUACAAUAUCCCGGAAAUCACACACACAAUCUGACAUACAAUAUCGCGGAAAUCACACACAAUCUGACAUACAAUAUCGCAGAAAUCACACACACAAUCUGACAUACAAUAUUGCGGAAAUCACACACACAAUCUGACAUACAAUAUCCAAGAAAUCACACACACAAUCUGACAUACAAUAUCCCGGAAAUCACACACACAGUCUGACAUACAAUAUCCCGGAAAUCACACACACCAUCUGACAUACAAUAUCCAGGAAAUCACACACACAGUCUGACAUACAACAUCUCGGAAAUCACACACACAAUCUGACAUACAAUAUCCAGGAAAUCACACACACAGUCUGACAUACAACAUCCCGGAAAUCACACACACAAUCUGACAUACAAUAUCGCAGAAAUCACACACACAAUCUGACAUACAAUAUCGCGGAAAUCACACACACAAUCUGACAUACAAUAUCCAAGAAAUCACACACACAAUCUGACAUACAAUAUCCAAGAAAUCACACACACAAUCUGACAUACAAUAUCCCGGAAAUCACACACACAAUAUCCAGGAAAUCACACACACAAUCUGACAUACAAUAUCCAUGAAAUCACACACACAAUCUGACAUACAAUAUCCCUGAAAUCACACACACAAUCUGACAUACAAUAUCCCGGAAACCACACACACAAUAUCGCGGAAAUCACACACACAAUCUGACAUACAACAUCCCGGAAAUCACACACACAAUCUGACAUACAAUAUCCCGGAAAUCACACACACAAUAUCCAGGAAAUCACACACACAAUCUGACAUACAAUAUCCAGGAAAUCACACACACAAUCUGACAUACAAUAUCCCGGAAAUCACACACACAAUCUGACAUACAAUAUCGCGGAAAUCACACACACAAUCUGACAUACAAUAUCCCGGAUAUCACACACACAAUCUAACAUACAAUAUCGCGGAAAUCACACACACAAUCUGACAUACAAUAUCCCGGAAAUCACACACACAAUCUGACAUACAAUAUCCCGGAAAUCACACACACAAUAUCCAGGAAAUCACACACGCAAUCUGACAUAUCCCAGAAAUCACACACACAGUCUGACAUACAAUAUCCGGAAAUCACACACACAAUCUGACAUACAAUAUCCAGGAAAUCACACACACAGUAUCCAGGAAAUCACACACACAAUCUGACAUACAAUAUCCCGGAAAUCACACACACAAUCUGACAUACAAUAUCCGGAAAUCACACACACAAUAUCCAGGAAAUCACACACACAAUCUGACAUACAAUAUCCAGGAAAUCACACACACAAUCUGGCAUACAAUAUCCCGGAAAUCACACACACAAUCGACAUGACAUACAAUAUCGGAAAUCACACACACAAUCUGGGAAAUCACACACACAAUCUGACAUACAAUAUCCCGGAAAUCACACACACAAUCUGACAUACAAUAUCCCGGAAAUCACACACACAAUCUGACAUACAAUAUCCUGGAAAUCACACACACAAUAUCCAGGAAAUCACACACACAAUCUGACUUACAAUAUCCAGGAAAUCACACACACAAUCUGGCAUACAAUAUCCCGGAAAUCACACACACAAUCGACAUACAAUAUCCCGGAAAUCACACACACAAUCUGACAUACAAUAUCGCGGAAAUCACACACACAAUCUGACAUACAAUAUCCCGGAAAUCACACACACAAUCUAACAUACAAUAUCGCGGAAAUCACACACACAAUCUGACAUACAAUAUCCCGGAAAUCACACACACAAUCUGACAUACAAUAUCCCGGAAAUCACACACACAAUCUGGAAAUCACACACAAUCUGACAUACAAUAUCCGGAAAUCACACACACAAUCUGACAUACAAUAUCCCGGAAAUCACACACACAAUCUGACAUACAAUAUCCGGAAAUCACACACACAAUCUGACAUACAAUAUCCCGGAAAUCACACACACAAUCUGACAUACAAUAUCCGGAAAUCACACACACAAUCUGACAUACAAUAUCCCGGAAAUCACACACACAAUAUCCAGGAAAUCACACACGCAAUCUGACAUACAAUAUCCCAGAAAUCACACACACAAUCUGACAUACAAUAUCGCGGAAAUCACACACACAAUCUGACAUACAAUAUCCCGGAUAUCACACACACAGUAUCCAGGAAAUCACACACACAAUCUGACAUACAAUAUCCCGGAAAUCACACACACAAUCUGACAUACAAUAUCCCAGAAAUCACACACACAACCUGACAGACAAUAUACCAGAAAUCACACACACAAUCUGACAUACAAUAUCCCGGAAAUCACACACACAAUCUGACAUACAAUAUCCAGGAAAUCACACACACAAUCUGACAUACAAUAUCCCGGAAAUCACACACACAAUCUGACUGACAUACAAUAUCCCGGAAAUCACACACACAAUCUGACAUACAAUAUCCCGGAAAUCACACACACAAUCUGACAUACAAUAUACCGGAAAUCACACACACAAUCUGACAUACAAUAUCCGGAAAUCACACACACCAUCUGACAUACAAUAUCCCGGAAAUCACACACACAAUCUGACAUACAAUAUCCGGAAAUCACACACACAAUCUGACAUACAAUAUCCCGGAAAUCACACACACAGUCUGACAUACAAUAUCCCGGAAAUCACACACACAAUCUGACAUACAAUAUCCCGGAAAUCACACACACAAUCUGACAUACAAUAUCCUGGAAAUCACACACACAGUCUGACAUACAAUAUCCCGGAAAUCACACACACAAUCUGACAUACAAUAUCCUGGAAAUCACACACACAAUCUGACAUACAAUAUCCCGGAAAUCACACACACAAUCUGACAUACAAUAUAUAUCAGAUUGUGUGUGUGUGAUUUCCAUGAUAUCAUAUGACUUGUGCCGUCAAUAAAUGUUGCCUUAAGAUUACCCAGCCGGUAAAUAUUAUUUCUAAACAGGGUCCCAAUCUGGUGCCGGCCCUUUAAGAGAACUGCCGAUAGUGAAGUAUUGUAAUUCCAACGAUAAAAAAUAAAAUCAGAAUCAGGAUUUGGAACUCACAUUUGAUGGAGCUAUGACCAGCUCUGAGAUAAAAGGCACUCAGUGGUAUAAUCCCUACUUCAGGAUAUACUUGAAUGGUAGGUCCGUCCGUCCAACUUAGGUUCCGUCGAAUCUCACAAGAUAUAGGAAACAGCAGAUAGUGCUCUCAGUAGGAACAGUACGAAAUAAAAUAAGAUAAAUAAUACUCACAAAAAUAGAGCAGGAAAUACUGCUCUAUUAUCACAGCGCUGGUGGAAUUAUGCCCACCUAUGGAUUGCUUGGCUGUAGUUUGGACCGGCUCUUGUGUGAGAUGCUUAAUAGUAUGUUCCCCACUGGUGAGUAUGCUGGAGAGGUAGGUCCGUCUGUUCGGCUGAAUUCCGUCGGGCUCCACAGAAUGUAUAAAAUAGUGAUAGUGCUCUCGGUUUGAAAAAAUGAGAUAAAUAAAAUAAAAUAAAAUAUACUUACAAAAAUAGAGCAGAUUAAUACUGCUCUAUUGCCACAGCAUAGGUGGAAUUAUCCCCACCUAGGGAUUUCUUUAGGACAGGAUACAGUAAGAAAAAAUGAUGAAAAAUAUUUAAAAGGAUAAAAUAAAAAAUAAAAUUAUAAAAUGCCAGGAAUAGUACUAAAAAAAGUGUAUAUAAGUACAAUAAAAUAAGUAAAAGAUUGGUCCUAUAAAAGAGGUAACCAAAAAAUAACUUUUAUUGUUUAAAAUACACUAUUAAAACCAUUAACGCGUUUCACCAAUCAGGUUUUUUCAAAAUGGUAAUAGAACAUGAUACCUGGCAUAAAACAGGAUUUAUAAGGGUACACAAUAAUUGAAUUUGGCGCCCAAAUUUUUUUGCACCAGUUGGAAACAAGUAUUAAAACAAUCAUAUUUAACAAGUUCAAAACAGAUAAAAGACUAUUUUGAUGUGUAAAGUUGACUUUCAUAAGUCUUAAAAUGUAUUUAUUUAUGUAAAACGAAUUACUGGUAACUUUAUUAUAUUUAACUUUGAUGGUCACAUGAUCGGGAUUAAAGAGAUUGCCGUGCACAUGCGCAGUCGGAAAUUACCGUGCGCAUGUGCAAUCGGAAGUUGCAUGGGCGGAUCGUUUUACCGCAAUUUAGCUCUGUGGGGCCGGCAUAAGGGAGCAGUGCUCCCUGGGGAAUGUAGUUGGGCAGAUCGAUCUGCCAUGCCGAAUACUAUGUGACCGGCAUAAGGGAGCAGUGCUCCCUGGGUAAUGUAGUUAUGCCGGUCACUAUAUGCUAAGGGAAAAAUGAGAGCAAGCUAGACAAGGAAAAUCCUAUUGUUAGCUGCUCUCAUUUUUAGUGGAAUAUGUGUAUGAAUAAAGAUCACAUUAUGCAGUAUAAGUAUAUUAAAAGCAAAGAUAAAUAUCAAAAAUAAGACAUACUUGAGCAUAGGUUAAAACAAUAGGAUCCAUUUGUAAACAUGGUUAUAAAGAAAAUAAAAAUAAAUAUAAAUAUAAAUAAUUAAAAAGUAGUGUAUUUAGUUAAAAACAUAAAAAACACAAAAAACACAAAAGCAUAUGGCAGAUGAGAACAGGCAAUAUAUUAUAUUGGAAAAAUGUUUGUUUAUAAAAAAUUAUGUAAAUCAAAAUCUGCAUUGAGACCUUGAGGUGUAAGGGUCUGUAAUCUAGAGACCCAUUCCAUUUCUGUUUUUCCUAGAAUGGUUUUUAUAUCUCCUCCUCUCCAAGGUAUUGAACAUUUUUUUAUACCAAUAAAUUUUAACAAUUUAGGAUCUUUAUUAUGGAUUAAGAAAUGUUUUGAUACAGAGUGGUUUAAAUAUCCGUUUUUUAUAUUCCUACAAUGUUCGCUGAGUCUAGUCUUUAGACAUCUAGUGGUCAUCCCCACAUAUUGGAAGCCGCAGGGACAUUCUAAUAGAUAAAUCACAUUUUUAGUGUUACAGUUUAUAAAUUCCUUUAUUUUAAAAGUAGUUUUUGUUUUAUUUGAAGUGAAUUCUGUCAUUUUUGAUGGCAUUGUCGAAUCAGCAGUUUUACAUACAAUGCAAUUUUUACAUUUGGAAAAACCUAUGGAUUGAGGAAAAAAAGAUAAUGAAUUUUUUGGUGGGAUUGUUUUAGUGAAGUUGGUAGUUAAAAUUGAUUUAAAAUUAGAGGCUCCCCUGAAGAUUAUACUUGGCUUUUCUGGGAUAAUUUGACACAGUUUCUCAUCAUGUUCUAAAAUAUGCCAAUGUUUUUAAAUAAUCUUUUUUUAUUUCCCUGCUUUUGUUGUCAUAGUUAAAAGUGAUGGGGAGAGAGAUAGAAUCAUUUUUUCUUUUAGGUUUAUAUAUUAAAAGUUCAUCCCUAUUUUUAUUUUUUAUCUCAUUAAUAUUUUCUAGUAGAUCUGAUUCUGGAUAAUUUUUUUCUAUAAAUGUAUUUUUUAAGACAUCAGCUUGUUCAUUGAAACUUUCUAAUUCUGUACAGUUUCUCCGUAGUCUUAGGAAUUGGCUUUUUGGGGCACUGUCGAGCCAUGGUUUGUAGUGACAACUGUUCUUGUCAAUUACUGUGUUAACACAAACUUUUUAAAAAAAAGUUUUAGUGUGAAUUUGUCCAUUUUUAAUAAAUAUAUUUAAAUCUAAAAAGUUGAUUUGUUCUCUACUAAAUUCAUGAGUUAAAAUUAUGCCUCUGUUAUUAGUAUUAAGAACAUUAAUAAAAGAAAUAAGACUGUCUUCGGGUCCAUUCCAUAUAAAAAAGAGGUCAUCUAUAUACCUAAAAUAUGAGACCAGGUUUGCCCCUAGAUUGUCUCCGUCGUAGAUGGCUGUAGAUUCCCAAUCUGCCAUGAAUAAAUUGGCAUAACUUGGGGCAAACCUGGUACUCAUGGCAUUUCCUCUUUUCUGGGGAUAAAAAGAAUUUAAACACCAAAAAUAAUUGUUUUUUAAAAUGAUGUUAAUACCCUCUAAGAUAAAAUCGAUUUGUUUUUCGGAAAUUCUGUUUUCUUUAGUUAAAAUAUUUUUAAUGGCUUCACAUCCAAUAUUGUGAGGUAUAAUAGUAUAAAGGGAUUGGACGUCACAGGUAACUAAAAUGAAAUUGGGGUUCCAUUUAAAAUGAUUUCAAAAGUUUAAAAGAGACAUAGAGUCCUGGAGGUACGAUUUCAUUUUCUUCACGGCAGGUUGGAGAAGAAUGUCAAUGUAUUGUGAGAGGUUGCAGAGAAGCGAGCCUAUACCUGACACUAUUGGUCUGCCGGGAGGAUUUGUUACAUUUUUAUGUAUUUUAGGUAAGAAGUAAACCACCAGGAUUUUUGGAAAUUUUUUAUCUAAAAAAAGAAACUCCUGUUUUGUUAAAAUACCUUGAGAUACACCUUUGUUUAAAAAGACAGAUAAAAUAUUUUGAAUUGUAUUAGUUGGAUCUGAUAGGAGUUUGUCAUAGACAUCGGUAUCGUUUAGCUGUCUGUGAGCUUCUUCUAUAUACAUGGUGCUGGAUAGGAUGACUACACCUCCUCCUUUAUCAGCUGGUUUUAUAACAAUAUCUUUNNNNNNNNNNNNNNNNNNNNNNNNNNNNNNNNNNNNNNNNNNNNNNNNNNNNNNNNNNNNNNNNNNNNNNNNNNNNNNNNNNNNNNNNNNNNNNNNNNNNAUCGUCUUGUAACUCUUUGAGUGCUUUCCUUUCUUUGUUUGUUAGAUUAUGUGUAUCAUAUUUAUUGGUCUGUAAUUUUUCCAAAUCUUUGGUAACCAGUUUUUCAAAUACUGAUAGUGGAGCAGUCUUCAUAAAAGCUGGGUAAUAUUUGGACUUUUCUUUNNNNNNNNNNNNNNNNNNNNNNNNNNNNNNNNNNNNNNNNNNNNNNNNNNNNNNNNNNNNNNNNNNNNNNNNNNNNNNNNNNNNNNNNNNNNNNNNNNNNAAAAUGUGUAUUUAUAAUGUGAUUGUUUUGAGUUGGGGAAGGAGGUGGAAUAGGGUUGUUGGUACUGAGAAUUGGACUUUCUUCGUUUUUUUCAAUAAAAUAUCAUUUUAAAGUGACUUUGCAGACAAACUUAUUAAUGUCAAUAAAGGCUUCAAAUGGUUUGAAAGAAUUAGUUGGAGAAAGAAUUAGUUGGAGUAUUUCCUGCUCUAUUUUUGUGAGUAUUAUUUUAUUUUGUAUUGUUCCUACUGAGAGCACUAUCUGCUGUUUCCUAUAUCUUGUGAGAUUCGACGGAACCUAAGUUGGACGGACGGACCUACCAUUCAAGUAUAUCCUGAAGUAGGGAUUAUACCACUGAGUGCCUUUUAUCUCAGAGCUGGUCAUAGCUCCAUCAAAUGUGAGUUCCAAAUCCUGAUUCUGAUUUUAUUUUUUAUCGUUGGAAUUACAAUACUUCACUAUCGGCAUUUCUCUUUGUGUUUCUUAUUUCCACAUAAACGGACACUUUUCACCCGGACGGAACCAUAUCCGAGGACUGUAAUCACACCUGAUAUCAGUGGGACUGUUUUUUACUUCAUUUUUAUCCCAUUUGGAGUCUCUCUACUUUUGACCUAUUUUUAUUGAUAACCUGUACAGACAUUAUUAUCAUUAUUAUUUUUAUUUUCAUAUAUAUUUUAACUUGAAAUAAUCCACCAGUUUUUAGUAUUUGUAAAUACAUGUCUUAUACUUAUUGAUUUCCGGUAUAUUAUCCAACAGCGCAGCCCUCAACUCCUCUAUUUAUUUGUCUAUCUCAAAUGGUCUCUGAGGGAUUCCCUCUGAGGGUUGCAGCUUUUCCGUUAUUAAGCGCAGACUCUUCCCCCUCUAUUUUUUUAUCAAAUUUAAUAACAUGCUUGCACUGAGUUUCCCUGAAAUGUGUCUCUGGUGUCUCCAUAAAUGGGAUACCAGGAGACAAAAAUGCCAGGAAAGAGUAUUGUGCAGUGUGUGUGUGUGUGUGUGUGUGAGGGUGCAGUGUGUGCGUGAGGGUGCUGUGUGUGUGUGUGAGGGUUCUGUGUAUGUGUGCUGUAUGUGUGAUCGGUGCAGUGUGUGUGUGUAAGGGGGCUGUGUUUGAGUGAAGGUGCUAUGUGCGUGUGAGGGUGCUGUGAGUGUCAGGGGUGCCGUGUGUGUGUGCGAGUGAGGAAGCUGUGUGUGUCAGGGGUGCUGUGUGUGUGUGUGAGUGAGGGUGCUGUGAGUGUCAGGGGUGCAGUGUGUGUGUGUGAGAGGGUGCUGUUAGUGUCGGGUGCAGUGUGUGUGUCCUCCUUUACUGUGUUGAUUCCCUUUAUAUAUUUAUAUAUUUAUAUUUAUAUAUUUUUUAUAUAUUUUAUAUAUUUAUAUUUAUAUAUUUAAAUGUUUCUAUCAUAUCCCCCCCGUCUCGUCUUCCCUCCAAGCUAUACAUGUUAAGAUCAUUUAACCUUUCCUGGUAAGUUUUAUCCCGCAAUCCAUGAACCAGUUUAGUAGCCCUUCUCUGAACCCUCUCUAAGGUAUCAAUAUCCUUCUGAAGAUACGGUCUCCAGUACUGUGUACAAUACUCCAAGUGAGGUCUCACCAGUGUUCUGUACAAUGGCAUGAGCACUUCCCUCUUUCUACUGCUAAUACCUCUCCCUAUACAAACAAGCAUUCUGCUAGCAUUUCCUGCUGCUCUAUUACAUUGUUUGCCUACCUUUAAGUCAUCAGAAAUAAUCACCCCUAAAUCCCUUUCCUCAUAUGUUGAAGUUAGGACUCUGUCAAAUAUUCUGUACUCUGCCCUUGGGUUUUUACGUCCAAGAUGCAUUAUCUUGCACUUAUCCACAUUAAAUGUCAGUUGCCACAAUUCUGACCAUUUUUCUAGUUUACCUAAAUCAUUUGUCAUUUGGCGUAUCCCUCCUGGAACAUCAACCCUGUUACAUAUCUUAGUAUCAUCAGCAAAAAGACAUACCUUACCAUCAAGACCUUCUGCAAUAUCACUAGUAAAAAUAUUAAAGAGAAUGGGUCCAAGUACAGAUCCCUGAGGUACCCCACUUGUGACAAGUCCAAGCUUUGAAUAUAUUCCAUUAACUACAACCCUCUGUUGCCUGUCACUCAGCCACAGCCUUACCCAUUCAACAAUAUUUGAAUCCAAACUUAAAGAUUGCAGUUUAUUGAUAAGCCUUCUGUGGCGAAACCGACCUCGCCACUGGGCAUUGGAGAAGACUGAUUGCCAGCCUCCUGCCAUGUGACUAUGGCCCCUGGAAUGUAUUGCCCUUUAAAGACAUGAUUUGGACAUAAGGGAUUUGUGUUGUGCUGCUGCUGGCCCUUUAAGAACCAUGUGGGGACAUACUGUGGAGUUACUGGGUGGCCACCAUUUCCUGUAUCAGAAGCACAUGGUGAGAACAAUGGAUGGCGGCCAUUUUAACUCACAGACACUGUUUGGACUUUUCUACACGGUGCCAUCUCGCCAGUAUUUGGUGCACAGAGACAUCGUGCAGUGGUUUUGGACUAUACAGCAGGAGACACAUUAUACAGUGAUUGUUUUUCCUUUAGCCUGUAUAUGUUCUGCAGAAUCUGCAUUAAACUGUAUUUUCCAAAGUAUUGAAUGGAUCUGGGUGAAUUUUGGAUAUGUGGUUCACCCAGAUCCCCCAGUUCCAAGGAUAUACUUGUAACCUUUUAUGGGGUUAUUGCAUGUUUUGGGGUCCCUGUGAUGUGUUUUAUGAAACUGUAUUUCUCUGGCUGUGAUAAUUAGAUUAACCAUUGUGUUCAGUAAUCAUAUCACAGCCAGAGGGGAGGAUUUUGUGUGGGAGUGUCUUUCUGUAAUGUACGUGUGUUAUUGGUUGUUAUGUAAAACCCUGUGGGCAGUACUAAGUUUGUGGAUUGGGAAUAAAAGAGACUGUAUGUGCCAGUCCAGUCAGUUCCUGUUUUAAUCCUCAAAGUGAAGUGUCGUCUCAUUAUUGGGGGAAGGAUUUAUUGUAUGCUGUUCCAGUUUGACUGCUAGGAGAGUAAACCUAUUCGUAUGGUUCCUAUUCAACUGUCUAUAGCAUUCAUAUGCUUGAGAGAAGGUAUACGCUUCUCUGGUUCAGUGAUUGUGGUGUAUUUUUAUGUGUUUUUCUGUGUUGAAUUUAAAAUGGCGAUUUGCCUCUGUCCUGGACAUAAUUAAAUUACUUCUCAAUUAUCUCCAGGGCAGAGGGGAGGAAAUACUAAUGCAUGCUGGGAAUAUUCUGUGUCUCUGGGUCCUAACUUGCCAUAUGUCUGUCUAUUGUUACAGUCUCCCAUUUGGUCCCCUAGGGGAGUGUCCACCAAGUGGGAGACCUGCAUAAACACGGACAGGUAGCCCACAGUAAAGCCAGUUCUUGUNNNNNNNNNNNNNNNNNNNNNNNNNNNNNNNNNNNNNNNNNNNNNNNNNNNNNNNNNNNNNNNNNNNNNNNNNNNNNNNNNNNNNNNNNNNNNNNNNNNNUUUACCCUCAAUGCGGAGCUUGGUCUCGUUAUUGGGGGGGAUUUAUUACCGACGACUAGAGACUGCUGGAUCGGAUUAUUAGCCGCUUGGGAGAUACCUGCUGUGGCGAAACCGAAAAGUUGCACUAUUGAAGGCAACAGAAAAUUGCAUUAGGUUUGUCGGUAAAAGCAAAAAAUUCAAGAAACCACUGUGGUACUCCGCAGAUAUGGCCAAAAUAGUUAAAAACAAAAAGUUAGCAUUUAGGAAUUAUAAAAAAACCCAGAGUGAGGAAGACAAAAUGAUCUAUAAGAUUAGGCAGAAAGAGGCUAAGCAAGUUAUAAGAGCUUCCAAAUCACACACAGAAGAGAAAAUAGCACAGUCAGUAAAAAAGGGGGAUAAAACAUUUUUAGAUACAUAAAUGAGAAAAGAAAAGUAAAACAAGGAUUAGUUAGAUUAAAAACAAAAGAAGGAAGGUAUGUAGAAGAGGAUAAAGGUCUAGCUGACUUCCUCAAUGAAUAUUUUUGUUCUGUAUUUACAGAUGAAAAUGAAGGAAAGGGACCUCAGUGGAGAAAAAGGAUAAAUUAGUCAUUUAUUACACGUGAGUUUACAGAGGAAGAGGUUCUAUUUCAACUGUCAAAAGUAAAGACAAAUAAGUCAAUGGGACCUGAUGGAAUACACCCAAAGCUAUUAAAAGAGCUUAGUGGUGUACUAGCAAAACCAUUAACAGAUUUAUUUAACCAAUCAUUGUUAACAGGCGUAGUCCCAGAAGAUUGGAAGUUAGCGAAUGUUGUGCCCAUUUACAAAAAAGGUAAUAGGGAGGAGUCGGGCAACUGUAGGCCAGUAAGCCUUACUUCAAUAGUGGGGAAAGUGAUGGAAACCAUGUUAAAGGAUAGGAUUGAUGAACAUCUAAAAACACAUGGAUUUCAAGAUCAGAGACAACAUGGGUUUACUUCAGGGAGAUCAUGCCAAACUAAUCUUUUUGAUUUUUUUGAUUGGGUAACUAAAAUUAUAGAUCAGGGUGGUGCAGUAGACAUUGCUUACCUAGAUUUCAGUAAAGCUCUUGACACUGUUGCACAUAGAAGGUGUAACGGAUCACCUGGCACCCCGACUGGGUACCUCCGUUGAAGGAUGCUCCUACCGCUUCCUGAGGACUCCAAGCACUGCAGCAGACACCACAAUCACUGAACCAGAGAAGCGUAUACCUUCUCUCAAGCAUAUGAAUGCUGUAGACAGUUGAAUAGGAACCAUACGAAUAGGUUUACACUCCUAGCAGUCAAACUGGAACAGCAUACAAUAAAUCCUCCCCCAAUAAUGAGACGACACUUCACUUUGAGGGUUAAGCAGGAACUGCUGUGCUGGCACACCCAGCCUGGUUUUUAUUACAGCCUUUCACAUACAGGACCGCCCACAGGGAGGUAUAAACAACCAAUCAAAUAUCAGUUACAUCCCACAUAUUCCCUCCCCUUAUCCUGAGAGGAAACUCAGUUACAUAUACAGUUAAAACAUACUUUCUACCCAACUUUCAUAACUCUAAAACCAUACAUCACAUUCACAUAAAAUUACAUAUUCACAAUCAAUCCAUUCAGGGGAACAACAUAUUUAAAAAUGGCAUGAAUCAGACCAGGGGUUCAAAAGUUAGUAAAAGUAUCUUUUGGGCCCUGGCUGGCACAUGGAUAUCUGGCUCAAACAGGUUUUACAGAGCCCUCUAUCCUGGAGACAAUGGGGGAAAGUAAUCCAAUUAUCCAGGGAUAGAGGCAGACUCCAUUGAGUACAUGGUUGCAAAAAGACAUAAAACACUUUAAAAUACAUAAAGUCACCUUUUACACAUAACACACAGACAUUUCACAUAUCCCCAGAUAGCUGGGAUCUGAGCGCACAAAACUACCGAAUAGCGCUCAGAUCCUAUUCACACAGUUCAAUUGCCAUGGAGCCGAAGUCUUUAACUACACGAAUGGGCUCCAUGGCAUAGCUAUCUGGGUUAACACAUUCACAUAAAAUCUGGUCCAUAGUCCAAAGGCAAGAGGCGGGCAAGCAGCCCCCUCCAAGGACACAUGGCGAGGUCGGUUUCGCCACAGCAGGUAUCUCCCAAGCGGCUAAUAAUCCGAUCCAGCAGUCUCUAGUCGUCGGUAAUAAAUCCCCCCCAAUAACGAGACCAAGCUCCGCAUUGAGGGUAAAACAAGAACUGGCUUUACUGUGGGCUACCUGUCCGUAUUUAUGCAGGUCUCCCACUUGGUGGACACUCCCCUAGGGGACCAAAUGGGAGACUGUAACAAUAGACAGACAUAUGGCAGGUUAGGACCCACAGACACAGAAUAUUCCCAGCAUGCAUUAGUAUUUCCUCCCCUCUGCCCUGGAGAUAAUUGAGAAGUAAUUCAAUUAUCUCCAGGACAGAGGCAAAUCGCCAUUUUAAAUUCAACACAGAAAACAUAUAAAAAUAUAUAACUUUACAAUUGUCGAAUGUUACCCAUUCGUAUCACAUAUCCCCAGAUAGCCUGGAUCUGAGUGCAUAUUAUUGGCGAAUAGCGCUCAGAUCCCAUACGCAUAGUUCAAUCGCCAUGGAGUCAAAGUCUAUUACAGUCUUUUGGUAUGCGAUUGACUCCAUGGGAAGGCUAUCUGGGGUAAGUCCAUUCGUGCAUUUAAACCUCCCGAACGGCCGGUUUUCGCACACUUCUGUUGAUUGAGAAGGGAGGUCGGCGGCUUCAGCGGUGUUCGGCUGAAAAAGUGUCCGUUUUCAGUUCCAUGAAAUCAAUGCCAAACACCGCUGGUUUUUCGCAUGGUUUAAAAUGGCCGCCACCUCGUGUUCGACAUACGAACGAUGACCACCCUGUAUUCGGUUUUAAUUGAGAAGUCUAUUACAGUCUUUCGGUAUGCGAUUGACUCCAUGGGAAGGCUAUCUGGGGUAAGUCCAUUCGUGCAUUUAAACCUCCCGAACGGCCGGUGUUCGUUUUCAGUUUCAUGAAAUCAAUGCCGAACACCGCUGGUCUUUCGCAUGGUUUAAAAUGGCUGCCGCCUCGUGGUCGACAUACGAACAACGACCACCCUGUAUUCGGUUUUAAUUGAGAAGUGUCUGUGGUUAACCGCAACGUUCUAAUUGGGAUCAAGAGGUUAACCAGCAGCACACUUCUCUUCUGGGUGGCCGUCCGUUCGGUAGUUUUGUUCGUCGGAAAAGUCAAUUCACGGAACAGGGGCAUACGAACGGGUAAUUUCAUGAAAAGGCAAAACAGAUGAAUCCAGCAAUCUCAGUCUAUACAGAUGGAUCUGUCACACAUACGAUCGAAACCAGGUUAGCGAACGAUCACAAUACCUGAGUUUUUGAGUUUGUGCAGUAGAAUGUCGUGGUCUACUGUGUCAAAGGCCUUAGCAAAAUCAAGGAAAAUAGCUCCAGUUAGGGCUCCUUGUUCCAUCCAAGUUUGGAUGUCAUUGCAAACUUUUAAGAGGGCAGUUGUAGUGGAGUGAUUCUGGCGAAAGCCCGAUUGAUCAGGGGUCAGAUAGUUUAAUUGUUGGUAGUACUCACAAAGUUGCGUAUGGACACAUUUUUCUAAGAUUUUUGACAAUUACGGGAGCAAUGAUAUUGGGCGAUAGUUAGAAACCAAAGUAGUGUCACCACUUUUAUGGAUAGACACUACUCUCGCAGUCUUCCAAAGUUUGGGUAUGUAUCCAGACACCAAGGAUUCGUUAAUUAGAGUUGAGACGGGUAUAGCAAUUGCCGGCGCACUGAGGCAUCCAACAGUUAACCAACAAAUAUUAAUAUAGAAUAACCAUUGACUAGGGUGAGGACACUGAGGCCCUAACUAUACACCUCAGACCGCAAGAGGAUGCGGCUCCCACCUAGUUCUGCAGCAGAGCCCCCAGUGCUUCCACCCAAGCAGACUGCAAGGGAGAUCUUCUGCCCAGCACCUGACACAGAGUCUCUGGAAGGACCCCCACACUUCUCAUAAACUUGAGGGGGGGAACAGCCCAGUGAAAUCUUGCCGGCACUCCCAUCCUCCAUCGCUGCAUCACCCUGGAGCAUCACCCAAUCGCCAUCAGAGAGAGAGACUCUCUUGCCGCCACCUGAAAAACGGACCAGAUUAAAUUUGGGACUGCAAAGCAGCCUGAAUAUCAGCCAAAAACAGGUCCAAACCUACGGGAUCUAGAUGGACCCCAUCAGGGCAAAAUAUCCCAGGCGUAUCAGUCAUAAUAGUGUGAUGUUGAACAAUAAAACCAUGCACACCAGCAGCAGUCCUGCCCACCAAGAGGUUGACCUUGUUACGGGAUCUGUAAGCAGUGUAAUAGUGGGGUGUACAGGCUCUGUUGUAGUGGGUGUAGAGGGUAGAAUAAUAGUAGGCUGUACAGGCUCCAUUGUGGUGGGUAUAGAGGAUAGAGUAAUAAUGGGGUGUACAGGCUCUGUUGUAGUGGGUGUAGAGGAUAGAGUAAUAAUGGGGUGUACAGGCUCCUUUGUGGUGGGUGUAGAGGGUACAGUGUAAUAGUGGGGUGUACAGACUCUGUUGCGGUGGGUGUAGAGGGUUCAGUGUAAUAGUGGGGUGUACAGGCUCCGUUGUGGUGGGUGUAGAGGGUAGAGUAAUAGCGGGGUGUACAGACUCCUUUGUGGUGGGUGUAGAGGUCACAGUGUAAUAGUGGGGUGUACAGACUCAGAGGGUACAGUGUAAUAGUGGGGUGUACAGAGGACUGGCUGUGGUGGGUGUAGAGGGUACAGUGUAAUAGUGGGAGGUACAGGUCUGUUGUGGUGGGUGUAGAGGGUACACAGUGUAAUAGUGGGGGGUGUACAGACUCCGCUGUGGUGGGGUGUAGAGGGUACAGUGUAAUAGUGGGGUGUACAGGCUCUGUUGUGGUGGGUGUAGAGGGUAGAAUAAUAGUGGGGUGUACAGAUUCCGUUGUGGUGGGUGUAGAGGGUACAGUGUAAUAGUGGGGUGUACAGACUCCGUUGUGGUGGGUGUAGAGGGUACAGUGUAAUAGUGGGGGUGUACAGACUCCGUUGUGGUGGGUGUAGAGGGUACAGUGUAAUAGUGGGGGUGUACGGACUCCGUUGUGGUGGGUGUAGAGGGUACAGUGUAAUAGUGGGGUGUACAGGAUCCGUUGUGGUGGGUGUACAGACUCUGUUGUGGUGGGUGUAGAGGGUACAGUGUAAUAGUGGGGGUGUACAGACUCCGUUGUGGUGGGUGUAGAGGGUACAGUGUAAUAGUGGGGGUGUACAGACUCCAUUGUGGUGGGUGUAGAGGGUACAGUGUAAUAGUGGGGUGUACAGGAUCCGUUGUGGUGGGUGUACAGACUCCGUUGUGGUGGGUGUAGAGGGUACAGUGUAAUAGUGGGGGGUGUGUUGAAAAUUGCUAGGGUGUAGAGGGUACAGUGUAAUAGUGGGGUGUACAGGCUCUGUUGUGGUGGGUGUAGAGGGUACAGUGUAAUAGUGGGGUGUACAGGCUCCGUUGUGGUGGGUGUAGAGGGUACAGUGUAAUAGUGGGGUGUACAGACUCCGUUGUGGUGGGUGUAGAGAGUACAGUGUAAUUGUGGGGGUGUACAGACUCCGUUGUGGUGGGUGUAGAGGGUACAGUGUAAUAGUGGGGGUGUACAGACUCCGUUGUGGUGGGUGUAGAGGGUACAGUGUAAUAGUGGGGUGUACAGGAUCUGUUGUGGUGGGUGUACAGACUCCGUUGUGGUGGGUGUAGAGGGUACAGUGUAAUAGUGGGGGUGUACAGACUCCGUUGUGGUGGGUGUAGAGGGUACAGUGUAAUAGUGGGGGUGUACAGGAUCCGUUGUGGUGGGUGUACAGACUCCGUUGUGGUGGGUGUACAGGCUCCCACAUGUAUUAUAUUCUGUGGAUAUUCAUAGCAUUUCACUAUUUUGCUUUUUCUUCUUCUUGUAUUAAAAACGAAAAGUAAAUCGUGAAAUGAUAUAAAAAAAAAAAAAUUAAAUCAUUUUUAUUGUGAAAUAGAAAAACUGACAGAUUUUGUAUGUGGUGGGAAAUCCCUGAAGCGAAAAGGAAUUUUAAAGACAAAUAUAUUUAGUGGCCACCUGUCUUUCUGGUGGUCUAUGAGGAAAACCUGCAUUUUGGCAAUUAACAUGAAUAAAAGAUCUGUCUGUGAUGCAGUAAAUGCGCCUGUUUUUCGGAGAUGUACACUAUUUUGCAGCGUAUUUAGAUCAGGAAUAUUAAUACAUUUACUGAUUAAUUCAUAGGACAAUAUAUGUUCACAGCUAAUUUGCAGGCCAGGAAUGGCUGGAAUGCUAUCUGCUGAUUGACCCUAAAUGAUUGCGAGCUCUGUGGCUCUGGUAAUAACAUUUUGUGUGUUUCCAUGGUGACAGGAUGUCCGAAUGUUUAGAUAAUACUGCAAAGUCUGGUGAAGGUUUAAUAGGCCUCGUGUUCUGCCCAGUGUUAGAACUGGCGGUGUCUCUGGAAUCUGGAAACGAGAGAUAAACGAGUGGCUGUUUAUAUUCAUCUCUUGGAGGCGUCACGGUUGGGGCUCAGGCUACUCGCUGAAUCAAAACGCAGUUAUUACUCCAUGUGUCACAGCCUUCAGCUACAGAUGUGAAAAAAAUAACAAGAUAACAAUGUGUUGGGGGGGGGGAUAACAAUGUGUGGGGGGGAUGACAGUGUGUGGGGGGGUCACAGGUGUGGGGGGGUGACAGUGUGUGGGGGGGGGUGACAGUGUGUAGAGGAGUGGCAGGUGGAGGGGGGUGACAGUUUAUGUGUGGGGUGACAGCAGGAGUGACAGGUGUGGAGGAGUGGCAGUGUGUGGAGGGGUGACAGUGUGUGGAGGGUGACAGUGUGUGGGGGGUGACAGUGUGUGUGGGGGAUGACAGUGUGAGGGGGGAUGACAGAGGUGGAGAGGGGGAUGACAGUGUGUGUGGAGGGGGAUACAGUGUGUGUGUGGAGGGGGGGUGACAGUGUGUGUGGAGAGGGGUGACAGUGUGUGAGAGGGUGACAGUGUGUGUGAGAGGGGUGACAGUUUAUGUGUGGAGGAGUGGCAGUGACAGUGUGUGGAGGAGGACAGUGUGGAGGGUGACAGUGUGUGUGGAGGGGGUGACAGGUGUGGGGGGGUGACAGGUGUGUGGGGAUGACAGUGUGUGUGAGGGAUGACAGAGCGGUGGAGGGGGAUGACAGUGUGUGUGAGGGAUGACAGUGUGUGGAGGGGGUGACAGUGUGUGUGGAGGGGUGACAGUGUGUGUGGAGAGGGGUGACAGUUUAUGUGUGGAGGAGUGGCAGUGUGUGGAGGAGUGGCAGUGUGUGCAGAGUGACACUGUGUUUGAGGGGAGUAGUGGUGGGAGUGGGUGGAGGGGUGACAGUGUGUGGAGGGCUGACAGUGUGUGUGUGGGGGGGUGACUGUGAGGAGGAUGUCAGUGUGUUUUGGUACCCCCUCACACUGUCACAUAGUGUGUGAGGGGAAUGUCAGUGUGUGUGUGUGUGUGUGUGUGGAUGGGGUGCAGUCUGUGAGGGGUGACUGUGUGUGUGUGUGGGUGACAGCCUAUAUCGGGGAGGAUAGUGUGUGUGUGACAGUGUAUAGGGGUGACAGUGUGUGAGGGUAACAGAGUGUGAGGGGGAUGACUGUGUGUGAGGGGUGACAGUAUGUGCGAGUGGGGACAGUGUGUGGUGGGGGGCAGUUAUUGCAUGGGGACAAUGUUUUGGGGGUAACAGUGUGUGGAGGUGUGAUAGUGUGUGAUGGGAGUAACAGUGUGUUUGAGGUAAAUAGCAGUGUGUAGAGAGGUGACAGUCAGGGCCGGACUGGGGAUACAAAGCAGCCCUGGAAAAAAAUGUUAUGCCAGCCCCAUAAAUCACUGCGCCAUAUAUUGUCGCAUGUAAUAUGUAAGGCUAUGUCUUACCACCCCAGAUGACAGAUGAUUGAGUUAUAUAUAUAUAUAUAUAUAUAUAUAUAUAUAUCUUUCUUUUUCUUAAUGUAGUGGUUCUGGUGUCUAUAGCAUGUCCCUACAGGCUUUUCAACGUAAACACUGACUUUUCAGAGAAAAGGCAGUAUUUACAUUGCUUCAAAGUGACACUGCUAGUGACAGGCACUCAGACGGUCACUAGGGGUGCUUCCUGUGUCAGUGCACCUACAUUCAGGGCCUCCACACUCUGUAGGUGCUGAACGUUCCCCAUAGAGAUGACAGACCAUGACACAGACAGACCCACACGCACACCAUGACACAGACAGACACACACACCAUGACAAACACAGACACACACACAUAUACCAUGACACACACACCAUGACACAGACAGACACACACACCAUGACACACACACAUACCAUGACACACCCACCAUGACACAGACAGACAGACCCAUACACACACCAUGGCACAGACAGACACACACACCAUGACACACACACAUAUACCAUGACAAACACACCAUGACACAGACAGACACACACCCCGUGACACAGACAGACACACACCAUGACAGACACACACCAUGACAGACAGACCCACACACACACACAAUAUGACACAGACAGACACACACCCAUAUACCAUGACACACACACAAUGACACAGACAGACAGACCCACACACACACACCAUGACACAGACAGACACACACACCAUGACACACACAUAUACCAUGACACACACACCAUGACACAGACUGACCCACACACACACACACAUAUAUACCAUGACACAGACAGACACACACACCAUGACACACACACAUAUACCAUGACACACACACACAUAUAUACCAUGACACAGACAGACACACACACCAUGACACACACACAAAUACCAUGACACACACACCAUGACAGACAGACACACACCAUGACACAGACAGACACACACCAUGACACAGACAGACAGACACACCAUGACACAGACAGACACCAUGACACAGACAGACACACACACACACACACACCAUGACAGACAGACACCAUGACACAGACAGACAGACACAUCAUAACAGACAGACACAUCAUAACAGACAGACACACAUCAUAACAGACAGACACAUCAUAACAGACAGACACACACCAUGACACAGACAGACAGACACAUCAUAACAGACAGAUACACACACCACACACACCAUGACACAGACAGACAGACAGAUCAUAACAGACAUACACACACACACCAUGACACAGACAAACACAUCAUAACAGACAGACACACACCAUGACACAGACAGACAGACACAUCAUAACAGACAGACACACACACCAUGACACAGACAGACAGACAGACAGAUCAUAACAGACAUACACACACACACCAUGACACAGACAAACACAUCAUAACAGACAGACACACACACCAUGACACAGACAGACACAUACACCAUGACACAGACAGACAGACCAUAACAGACAGACACACCAUAACACACAUUACUACUACCUGCCAGAGCAUCGUGCAGUGCAGACGGUUGUCUGUGCUGGAGUCUGGCGGCCGCUGGGGGAGGUCUGCUGGCGGCCGCUGGGGGAGGUCUGCUGGCGGCCGCUGGGGGAGCUGCGCUGGCUCUGCUCUCCGCCCUUGCACGCUGCUGCAUGAGACAAGGUGCUGAACGUUCCCCAUAGAGAUGACAGACCAUGACACAGACAGACCCACACGCACACCAUGACACAGACAGACACACACACCAUGACAAACACAGACACACACACAUAUACCAUGACACACACACCAUGACACAGACAGACACACACACCAUGACACAGACAGACACACACACCAUGACACACACACAUACCAUGACACACACCAUGACACAGACAGACCCACACCAUGACACAGACACACACACCAUGACACACCCACCAUGACACAGACAGACAGACCCAUACACACACCAUGGCACAGACAGACACACACACCAUGACACACACACAUAUACCAUGACAAACACACCAUGACACAGACAGACACACACCCCGUGACACAGACAGACACACACCAUGACAGACACACACCAUGACAGACAGACCCACACACACACACAAUAUGACACAGACAGACACACACCCAUAUACCAUGACACACACACAAUGACACAGACAGACAGACCCACACACACACACCAUGACACAGACAGACACACACACCAUGACACACACAUAUACCAUGACACACACACCAUGACACAGACUGACCCACACACACACACACAUAUAUACCAUGACACAGACAGACACACACACCAUGACACACACACAUAUACCAUGACACACACACACAUAUAUACCAUGACACAGACAGACACACACACCAUGACACACACACAAAUACCAUGACACACACACCAUGACAGACAGACACACACCAUGACACAGACAGACACACACCAUGACACAGACAGACAGACACACCAUGACACAGACAGACACCAUGACACAGACAGACACACACACACACACACACCAUGACAGACAGACACCAUGACACAGACAGACAGACACAUCAUAACAGACAGACACAUCAUAACAGACAGACACACACCAUGACACAGACAGACAGACACAUCAUAACAGACAGACACACACACCAUGACACAGACAGACAGACAGACAGAUCAUAACAGACAUACACACACACACCAUGACACAGACAAACACAUCAUAACAGACAGACACACACACCAUGACACAGACAGACACAUACACCAUGACACAGACAGACAGACCAUAACAGACAGACACACCAUAACACACAUUACUACUACCUGCCAGAGCAUCGUGCAGUGCAGACGGUUGUCUGUGCUGGAGUCUCUGGCGGCCGCUGGGGGAGGUCUGCUGGCGGCCGCUGGGGGAGGUCUGCUGGCGGCCGCUGGGGGAGGUCUGCUGGCGGCCGCUGGGGGAGCUGCGCUGGCUCUGCUCUCCGCCCUUGCACGCUGCUGCAUGAGACCGCGGCUGGAAUAUGACGUCCUAUUCUGGGUCUCAUAAAGCUGCGCGCUGGUGAGUAGAGACAGAACAGCUCCCCCAGCGGCCGCCAGCAGACCCAGGUGUCUGCCCGGCCCCAGGUGCCGACGGACGAGGCCGCCAGACUCCAGUCCGGCCCUGGUGACAGUGUGUGUGUGGCUGUGACAGUGUGUAUAUUGGGGUAAAAGUCUGUUUGAGGGGAGUGACAGUGUGUGUGGGGAAGUGACAGUGUGUGUGUGGGAUUGACAGGGUGUGUGGAGGGGGGUGACAGUGUGUGUUGUGGAGUGACAGUGUGUGUUGAGGAGUGACAGUGUGUAUGGAGGAGUGACAGUGUGUGUGGAGGAGUGACAGUGUAUGAUGGGGCGUUAAAGUGUAUAAAUGGGGCUAACAGUGUGUGAGGGGAAUGACAGUGUGUGGGGGACACACAAACAUGCUCACAGAGACAUACGUUCACACACAAGGGUAUUCACUGUCAGACAAACACUCUCAGGCACAUACACAGAUACACAUUGUGACUGCUUAACUAGAUUUCAGUAAGGCUUUUGACACUGUGGCACAUAGAAGGCUUAUCAAUAAACUGCAAUCUUUAAGUUUGGAUUCCAAUAUUGUUGAAUGGGUAGGGCAGUGGCUGAGUGACAGGCAACAGAGGGUUGUAGUCAAUGGAGUAUAUUCGAAGCAUGGGCUUGUCACCAGUGGGGUACCUCAGGGAUCUGUACUGUAGUGGACCGGCAAUAUUAAAUCCCACGAAUUCCGCUGGUACAUACAGUAAUCCACAGUCAGCGCUGAAAAGCAAGGCAAUAUCCCAAAUCCCCCCAGUAACCGGACGAAACACAGUUCUGGGAGUCAACUGAGGUUUUUAUUUGCAGCUCCAGUAUUUAUGCAAGUCCCCAUGCAAGGGGUUUCCAUACUGCUUUAGCAGGGGUAACACAGUAGGGGACUACAUGGGGGACUUCACAUUCUGGGCAUUUUCCCAUCAGGCACUGCUGCACGAGAGGGAUACUCCCACUGGAAUAUACCGUUAAGUGGAUUACCCAUCCGUGCAGCAGAACCGGCAAUUUAUAUUAAAAUACAUAACUUUUUGAAUACUUGACAGAUUUACACGAAUGGACGUUCGGUCGAUAGCUGGGGUUCGUGAGAAUACCGCUCAGAUCCCAGCAUAAAUAACUGAAUGCCGCACGAAAAACAAAUUUUUUAUAACACAAGUUAAAAGUACCGAUUGACAUAGAUGGACCAAACUACCGAACGGCCCAGGACUCCCGAACGGUCUGGAAGCCCAGCGGUGUUCACGCCGCCGAGUAGCCGUUUUCAGUUCCAUGCGCUUGACGACCAAACACCGCUGGGGAACAAAGGAUCUAAGAUGGCCGACCGCUGCGCGGUCGGUAGCGGAACGGCGGCCACCUAGGAGAGCCUCUAAUUAACAAUGUUGCAAUCGGUUAACAUGCGCCACACGUCCCUUAGUGUGUGGGCUAUUAAAAGAUAGUUCAUUCGGUUCACAAACGGCUCGCAAAGGUGCCGUUCGUGAAACAAAAUAGAAAAUUACUAUCUGCUUUCGGCAGAUAGCCAAUACAAGCAAUACAGCCUACAGGAUACAGUAGAUUACAACCAGGCACAUACACAAUGGUAUUAAAGAUACAGACAACCCUUAAAAACAUAUUGUCUCUGUUUAGUCCAAGUGGCUAGGUUUGCCACAUGUACUUGGACCCAUUCUCUUUAAUAUUUUUAUUAGUGAUAUUGCAGAAGGUCUUGAUGGUAAGGUAUGUCUUUUUGCUGAUGAUACAAAGAUAUGUAACAGGGUUGAUGUUCCAGAAGGGAUAAGCCAAAUGGCAAAUGAUUUAGGUAAAUUAGAAAAAUGGUCAGAAUUGUGGCAACUGACAUUUAAUGUGGAUAAGUGCAAGAUAAUGCAUCUUGGACGUAAAAACCCAAGGGCAGAGUACAGAAUAUUUGGUAGAGUUCUAACCUCAACAUAUGAGGAAAGGGAUUUAGGGGUGAUUAUUUCUGAUGACUUAAAGGUAGGCAGACAAUGUAAUAGAGCGGCAGGAAAUGCUAGCAGAAUGCUUGGUUGUAUAGGGAGAGGUAUUAGCAGUAGAAAGAGGGAAGUGCUCAUGCCAUUGUACAGAACACUGGUGAGACCUCACUUGGAGUAUUGUACACAGUACUGGAGACCGUAUCUUCAGAAGGAUAUUGAUACCUUAGAGAGGGUUCAGAGAAGGGCUACUAAACUGGUUCAUGGAUUGCAGGAUAAAACUUACCAGGAAAGGUUAAAGGAACUUAACAUGUAUAGCUUGGAGGAAAGACGAGACAGGGGGAUGAUAGAAACAUUUAAAUACAUAAAGGGAAUUGUGACGGUAGUAGAAAAUAUCCCCGUCAAGCAUUCCUUUCUUCCCAUAAAAGAAAAGCACUCAAUAUUCCAUAAGCAGAAAUAUCCCUGGAAUCGCCGAAUAAUCCACACAUGAGCCAAAGCUUAAUGCUGGAACAAGACUGAUUUACUGGCACACAGAACUCACAAUUUAUGCAACACAAAACUCCUCCUCUGGGCCAGGCUAGAUAAUUGAGUUUCUACAAUACACAAAGCUCAAUUAUCUGCUGGCCAGAAACAUUACAAUUUAUAACAAUUUCAGAAACAUACUUGUUAUAAGACAUACAAAUAUACUUUUGACAUCCCUGGGUAGCUGAGGAUACUGGUAGUCACACAUCCAAAUCUCACAAAUUUCCGUUCAGUAGUUUCCGUGUCGCAUCGUGUGGAAGUUUGACCGGCUUGUGGAGGUAUCCGAGUUACAGUUCCAUAGAAUCAGUAGCAAGAGCCGGUCUCCGUUCGCAUCUAACUACACGAAAACCACUGUUCGUAUGGUUCAGCUGGUUACCUGUGAAUGUUCCCCUCAUUCGGUAGAUACUAUCUACCGAACGCCAGUUUGAUUCGUGGACGGGAACGUAUUCAUCCAUGGGGACCGGGCGUUCGCAUGUUUCCUGUACCGAAAACAGUUCCAUGCAAUUCAUGCGUAAGCCCCGCUGACCGCAUUCAUGAGUUUUAAGAUGGCCGCCAUCCUUUGUUCUCGCCACGUGUUCGUAUGUCGAAUGGUGGCCACCUAGUAGCAAUUAAGUUGCGGUUUUCUUUGUGUUCUAAUUGCUACUUGCUACCCAGGGUGUGUGGUCCCCGUUCGGUACACGAAUACAUUCAUUCUCAACAUUUUGAACCGAACAAUAUAGACAUUAAAAUAGCAGGGAGAGGAUUAAACUGAAGCAAAUAGGCAAAUACAUAAAAGUCCUUCACAGGAAUCAACACAGUAAAGGAGGAGACCAUAUUUAAAAGAAGAAAAACUACCACAACAAGAGGACAUAGUCUUAAAUUAGAGGUACAAAGGUUUAAAAAUAAUAUCAGGAAGUAUUACUUUACUGAGAGGGUAGUGGAUGCAUGGAAUAGCCUUCCGGCUAAAGUGGUAGAGGUUAACACAGUAAAGGAGUUUAAGCAUGCGUGGGAUAGGCAUAAGGCUAUCCUAACUAUAAGAUAAGGCCAGGGACUAAUGAAAGUAUUUAGAAAAUUGGGCAGACUAGAUGGGCCGAAUGGUUCUUAUCUGCUGUCACAUUCUAUGUUUCUAUGACUGUAUGUCUGUGUUUGUCAAUGUGUGUAUCUUUGUGCAUCAGUGUGUUUGUAUCAGAGUGGGUAUAUGUGUGUCUAUAGCUGCAAUGUGAGCAAUGUGAGGGUGGUAUGGGCUUUACAAAGCUAAAGCUGGCAUAGGUAUCCCGUAAGAACGGAUAGAAAAGUAGGAUGAAUGUUACCAGUGACUGUGUUUUGUUGACAGAUUAUUAUCUGAUAUCAGAAGACAGUCACUGAACGACUCUUGCAAGGAGACUACAGAUAUCGGUGGCAUUUCAAGCACAGCACGGACUGUAUGAUCCUCCCUGAAUGGCAUUGUUUAUUUAUACUGUAUGGAUAAUGUCACGGCAUUGGAACCUACGAUACAAGUUUUAAUAGAACAAUAACUAGGGCUCAUGUUCUGUUUGGUUUCACUUGGCAUGUGCGCAGACGGUGAGAUUUUCCCUCUUCUCCCUUGCCAUACUUUGUAAAUGUCGCUAGGAAUGCUGAAACAAUAAAUGUUAGAAAGUUAAUGUUUCGUUCCAUUAAUCCUCGAUGCUCUCUUUUUGGAUCUUGUUGCUGUACAGAUCCACAACGUCUGCUGAGAAAUUCAUAUAAUCCUAACAAAGGUUUCUGCUUCCUCGCAUGAUUUACAGGAACGAGACGCAGCUCAUUGUUCAUCUAAUAAAAG